GCGCAUGCGAUCGAAAAAUUGCUCGGGGUCGUCGUCGGCAGAGCUAACAAGCCGGUCGAGAAGGAGCUUCUGCUCCUUAGCCUCGAGCUCGCUGACGUCGAUCUCCAUGGUGUCUCCGACGACGUUUCUGAAAAUGCCGCGCCGUACUCGAGCGUAGGUCGGGAGCCGCUCCAGCGCGGCCCACCGCAGCGCUUCCUCAUCGUCCCCUUCCUCCCGAAACGACCCCGAUCUCGCGAACACGUUCUCCGCCGAGUUCCACAUCGGAAAUCCCCAAAAGCUCUCCCUAGCCACAGAAAAAUGCACAGGCUUAGGCUGAAGAGGGAGAUAAGAGAGAGAGAGAGAGAGAGAGAGAGAGAGAGAGAGGCUAAUUAAAAGUGGAGUGUGAAUGUGAGAUGGACAUGUUUGAUUGCUGGAAAUGGUGGUUGGAGCUCUGCAUUUAAUUUUUCUGUGUAAAUAAGUAAGUCUUGUUGUUUGUUGUGACGGAUGAGAGAGAGACAGCUUCUACUUUCUCUCUCUAAAAUGACCGUUAAAAUUUUUCAGAUUUUGUGCAGGACAACAAAGAGAGGGUUUCAUUUAAUGGCCGCGGGAAAGACAAUAAGCCGGAGGCCUCUUUCAAACGUCGACUCGCGCGGCUGUUUAAAUCAAUUCUAUUCGCUCCACGGAUGAAGCUUCUAUCUCAUCCAACGGCUGGACUUAAUCGUGAAAAGGGGAAGUUUCAAAUUUAUCUAUUUUUAGAGGCUCAAAAUAAUUGAUACCCUUGUUUUCUUUUUCACAUACGAAAUAAGAAAACUCUGUUCUAUGGUACUAUUGAUCGAGACCCUUCAAAAACAACUCGAGCGCUUUCAACACCUCUCGAAUAAUAUAACAAGAAGUAAAUAUGACACUCAAGACAAUAAAAAUGACUCGACAAGCGCUCGAGAAAAGCUUAAGACGUACUUGAGAGUGGCAACUAAAGGUAGAUAAACAAUUUGAGUGCAAUUAAAUUAUGACUCAGAAGCGAGGCGUAAUAGUUGAAUAGGUACUUCCUAACGUCACGUGUUGAUUCUGCACGCAUUUCGAUGUCAGGACAUAUGACAUAUGGACGGUUUAAGGACUUAUUUUUGUGUGAGAUGUAUCAGUGAAAUAAGCUAAUAGGGACCGCAUGAUUUAAAUUAAGUGAUCGAAAUCUCUCAGUCUAUCAACUUCAAGCGCAAAAUUCUAAGAAGUUCUCAAUUUACAAGACCAAGACCUAUUAAGUAUUUUCACAUACAAAAAUAGCAUAUUUUAUAAAUUAAAGAAUCAAACAUAUUUUUGAGCCCACUAAAAAUCAAAUUUCCAACAUUCCCACUGUGAAGUGUGAAACGACCGUUGGUUUUGUUGAUAGGUCUGGCGCGUGUGGGUUAUUUUCGUGGGAAUUUAAAUGAAACGGUUGGAAAGGUGUGAUUUUACUGAUUUACCACCCUGUUGGGUUGAUUCGGAGUUCAAAAACGGCAUGUCUUUAAACCGAAGCAUUUAUCCAUUAUCCACCAUUUCGUCGCAAAGGUGAGGCAUUGCCUAUUUUGUGGAAGCUUUUCCAUUGCCAUUGCUCGCUAUACUCGUGUGUUCUCUCCCAAUGUUAGUUCUCGUUAUUUCUAACUGUUGAUGCAUUCUAAUUCUCCACAGUUCUUAGUUGAGUUUGACAUUGUCAGUUGCUCAUAAUUUAUAAUCGUUGAUUCAUAAUAAGUCAUAGCUAAUCAUGUUAGUCGCCUAUUGUUGAUGGAUGGUAGGUAAGAUAUUUGAUGAUUAUUAUCUACAAUUCCUCAUCGUUGAUAUCCAAAAUUUCUAACAAUUGAUGCAUUGUGGGUCAUGGCUGCUCUGGUAUUCCAAAAUUCUUCAUCAUUGAUGCAUUAUUGGUUAGGAAUGCUUUGGUCAAUCGUCUACAAUCCUAAUUGUUAACGCAUUGUCAGAUAAGAACAGUCUAGACCAUCACUUGCAAUUCCGUAUGUGAACGACAGAACAUAUAAACUUUUGUAUGUUUCAGGUCAGAAUUGUAUUUGAUCAUAUGGUUAAUAUGAUAAAUGGAGGGUAAAUGCAAUUUCUUAAUUUGUAUAUUUUUUGGUAGCAUGAGAACUUCAUUUCAUCAAUAUGGCAUGGCAGUUCUUAACCCCACUGAAAGUGACAUUUUCAUCAGAAUAGCUUCUGUUAAAUUGUCUUGUUGUCUUCUCUAUAUCGUAUGAAAAAUUGUGGACUUUCAAAUCCUAGUCGUUUUCAUGUACCAAAAAUAUUGCAAUUUCUGCCAUCGAUGGUCAGAAAAUAUUUGACCUACUCAAACCAAAAUCUAGAACCACCACGGAAUGAUUCAGUGGUAGGAGACGAAUUACAGACUCAUAUUCCAUAUGACACGUUUUGGGUUUAAUCUCUGGCGCUAGAGAAAGAACAAGUGACAAGUCAAUAUGGCAUGGCAGUUCUUAACCCCACUGAAAGUGACAUUUUCAUCAGAAUAGCUUCUGUUAAAUUGUCUUGUUGUCUUCUCUAUAUCGUAUGAAAAAUUGUGGACUUUCAAAUCCUAGUCGUUUUCAUGUACCAAAAAUAUUGCAAUUUCUGCCAUCGAUGGUCAGAAAAUAUUUGACCUACUCAAACCAAAAUCUAGAACCACCACGGAAUGAUUCAGUGGUAGGAGACGAAUUACAGACUCAUAUUCCAUAUGACACGUUUUGGGUUUAAUCUCUGGCGCUGGUGAAUUACAUGAUAAUAGUUAAGGGAAGGCUGAAAUAUCUUUGUAAGUCUUCCGAGCUCUCAAAAAAGUAAAAUAUAUAACGUAGAGAGAAAAUGUCAUAACUUUUAUAGUCAAGCUAGGAAGUUGUCUUCGACACUACACGUAUAUAACAAAGGGUAAUGUCAAGGAGACUAAAUUUGUAAACAAAAUUUUAGAAACUAAAGGACAUGAAAGUUGAUGACUGAUUUAUUACUUAAAGGUUGAUAAACGUAGUCAUUCCUAUUGAUGACACAUGAUUUAACAAGGAAGAAAUCUAUGGUAAGAGUUAGGUGAUCAAAAAGCAAAAAAGACAGGUGGGAUUUAAAUUCUGCCUCCGUUACGGACGAGAAUUUGGUUUAUAUGGAGAAAGAACAAGUGACAAGUCAAAGGAAAAGAAAAAAAAACUAUUCAGACAACGGAAAUUGGAAAACAUUUCCCUGCCAACUGCAUAUUAUUAUUGUUCCUUUGCCCUUUACUUGUUGGCAAUGGCGUUGGGAUAUUAAUGGGAAAACUAAAUGCCCAAGGCCCAGCAUUGAAAAUAUGUAACACCACCACUGCUGGUUCAUAUGUAGUUGCAAAAGCUCAAUAAUUCAUUCAAAUCCUUCAAAUACAACAAUAAAACUUUGUUCCACUAAGCAGGUCAAUGGUAUGAAUCCUGGAACAUCAUUGUGCUCAAUUUUGCGUCAAGUCAUCAUUUACCCCUAUUACCCUAAACCUAUGUGUCAAAAGUGCAUUCUCUAACAUGAGAAUUUGUAGGUCUUCGGUUCACAUAUCCAACCAUUUUAACCAAUUUUCCUUCAUCUAUCUUCAAUUGCAGUUAUUCACACUUUAUCUCAGAUAUCCUCGUUCCUAAUAUUGUCCUUCUAAUCCACCAAAUAAGUGGUGGAAUUUAUUGCUAUAUGUUUUUGAUGUGCACACCUUGACGAAAAUAUUGUUUAAAGUUUCAAUAAAAUUGACCAAGAUGCUAAGGCAUUUACAUAAUUGAGCAUGUUUAUGGAACAAUGUGAUCAUACAUACAAAAUCAUAUGUCUGAAGUUUGAAAUAUGCAAGGUUGAGAUGUGCAUGGCACAUAGACUCGUGACUCUGUGAGUUGUUUAAUUAUUACAUCAAGAAAACCAAACUUCCUCACCUCUCUUGAAUCUUAACGGGCAAUAUUGCAUCAAGGACUUACUUCCCUCGUUGUGUACUAGUUGGUGGAGAGUAGUUCACAUCGGUGAAUGGUGAGCGACUAUUAACAAUAGUCAUGAUCAAUCAUAAGAAUUAGAAAACCAUGUAUAAGGAUGUGUGUGUGCGCGCGCGUAUGAGGCCUUUAAGCGAAGGGAUCUUUAUUUUUAUUUUUUAUUUUUUUAAAAUAGGAAUUAGUUGUGAGGUACAUAUUACAUCGAACUUCAACGAUCCGAACCGUCUAUUAUUCAAGUUGUACCUCAUAGAUCAUCCUUAGAAAAUAUAGCCAAAUCGGAUACUUCAGAUAUCUAAAUGAGUUCAAAUAAAUUAACGAACACUUUGUUCUAUAAUAAACAAUGAAAUUUCAUCGUGAUAAUUAAAUAGUUAAAUGGUUUUAUAUUGAAUUAAAUUUUUGUAAUGAUGAUCUAUGAAUCAAGACUUACAAAAUAAAUGGUUCAUAUAGUUGAAAUUCAAUGUGGAGUGGGUCCCACAACUAAUCCACAUUAUAUACAGUUUAUAGGUUGAACCGGAAUUUUAUGACGCGAAUGUACACAAAGACGGAGUAAUUAAUGCACAUGCACUCUUUAAGUUUGUUAUAUUCUUUUAUAUUAAACAAAAUAAAGGAGAACUAGGAGAUAUAAACAAUAUGAAUGUGAAGAUGAUACUCUAAAUGAAUUACAAUUUUAGAUUGUAAAUUUAAAUGUCAAUUAUCAAUAAUAAGUGAUUUAACAGGUGGAGUUCACUUUGUAGAGAUAAGCGUGGUUCAAUUUGAUUCAAUUCAAGUCUUAAACAAUACCCCAAUCAAUGUAGCAACAUCGUUAAGAUUGGUUUUGGUUUAAUAGUUUCUUAAUACGUUAAUUCGACCUGAACCAAACCAAGCUAAUUAUAAUUUAAUUUAGUUCAACCUAAAUUUUUACCUUUUAAUUCUAAAAGUCGAACCUAUAAAUUUAAGUUUAAGACCUCUCUUCCUAUAGGCAUUCGGCCUUAAUAAUCCAUGCUUUCGGCCCAUACAACAUAUCACCUUUAAGGCUACACAUGGGCCUGACCUUGUCGGUUGUCCAUUACAUUUUAGGCUUUAAUUUUGGGCCGCUGGCCCUCAUUCUCACAAAAGGCGAACCAAUACCCUGGACGAUGCCGUUUCAAUGCCGCGGCAAACAGGCGCUGAAAAAUGGAGGGAGUUCCGGCGCCGCUUCCGACGCCGCAAUCGAAACCUUAAGAACCAGAGGAUGGUGCUUCGCGACCACGAACAAGUGGAGGCGAUGAUCCUGCUCCACUCCGCCUUGUCCGACGACAAGCGUACGGUGGUGAAUUCAGUGGAAGCCGAGCUCACCAACAUGGUCCUCAAAUCUAUCUCCGCUAGGUCCUUGCCCGACCCGCAUACGCUCCAAAUGUCCUCUCACCUCCUCGGCUCCAAGGUCCUCCAGGUAAAUCACACCUCUCUGUAUUUCUCGUUAAUUUAUCUCGUUUUCUGUUUGGUUGCUGAGAAAAUAGAUGAAGAGAAAGCAAUGUGGGCUCACAGAAGCGUCGUUCCUGGAACUAAGGUACUUACUGCUACUUGAUGAUUGCUUGCUCAAUGCUCAGCUUGUGUUAUACAUGUAAAUAAGUUAAAGAUUUCUUUGAUUGAUCACUUUUUGGAAUUUGAAUAUGUUCAGUUUAGUAUGAAAUUGAGAUAGAUUAUGGAAAACAACGGCAAAUGGGAUAAUAACAUAUUUAGAAACUAACACUUUCUUAGAACAUAGUAAUGAACACUGUGCUUCGUAUUUGUGUAUGCAAUCUUGAAGCGAAUCCACAUCCAAUUUUUAAUUGAUGUAAGUGUAUUUUCAUGAAACUCAGUAUGAAUUUCAUAAGAAGUUUUAGGUGUCUCUCUAAACUCAAUAUGAACUUCAAUCAAUCGCAGAUGAAUAAAAAGUAUUCAUUUGAGAAGUUGCAAGUUGGGGCAGCUAAAAGUCGGUUUCCUCAACAGGACAAAUUGCUGUUACCAUAAUUUUCAACCACUCAACGUUGUUAUUGCAGGCAUAACUCAUGGGGAUGAUACAAUCAUGGGCAGAUUACUCUAGUCUGAUGUUAGCUCCAGGAGUAGUGGACUAUCGCCAGAAAUACUGAGGUUAGAUCAGUUGGAAGGCAGCAGAACCUUCAAUUGAAAGCAAGAGGAUAAAAAUUAUAAAAAAAUUGAGACAGAUAACAGACAGAAGGCAGAUUCCCUUGAUGAAAGAACUCAAGACAAACCGAGUAGCUCAGCAACGAAACCAACCAGCUGCACAAAAUCUUCCUCAAAAAAUGAGUCAUCGAAACCGUGAUGACAAGCAUUCAAGAGGCAGACAGUUUGGGGGAAAAGGGGAGGCAAGAGGAAGAGCCCGAUGGGAAAAGAGAAAAGCCGGGGCAAAGCCUUCAAUUGGAGGUGCCUGUACAGGUAGUAGUCGUGAUGAGGAACUUGCACGGCAGCUCCAAAAUCAAUUUGAUUUGGAUGAUUAUCAUGUCAGUGUGUCAGCAUAUUCUGAUCAUUAAAAUUGGUAUUGGUGUUGUAUUGCAAGAUUUCUGAUGUUAUUGUGCUGCAACUGAAGGUACAAAAGUGUCCUCAUGAUGUGGAUGCAGAGAAUAUUAAAAUGAGCAUGUUCAGCUACCAAAAAGCUGUCUCCUUUUAUUUUUAUUUUUUUAAUUGAAGUCCAUAAACACGUGUAAGCUAUAUUUGUUGUGUUCAUUUUGUUUUACUGUGUCUGUGUGACAUCUUAACCUGAUGGUGUUUACAGAAGGACACAACAUGUAGAUGUAGCAAAUGUGUUUUGUAAGGGCCGAAGAAACUGAUCAUGGGCAGGUGUUUGCAAUUGGUUUUCAGGUAAGGGAUGUAAUUAGCACUCAUAAAGUGGGGAACAGUCAAAGUUCACCAUUUUUAGAAUAAGUGGCAAUAGCGGAACUGAGAAAUGAAAUUGUAGAGCGCAUGUAUAUUUAUCCUUCGAAAGUGUAGUUUUUGGGAACACAAUUUCAUGCACAAUUCAUAUUUUUGCUUUUCAUUUUUUUCUGUUUGUUCUGUUAAUGGUUAAGAAGACAUGAAUCAUAUGUAUGUAAAUAUUGCAUAUCGUAUAUAUACCUAGAACUUUUGACAUGUUUUAUAUGGUUUUAAAACCUGUAGCAUCACUAGUAGAAACUAAAAUCGGUGAAGGAAGCUUUUGAACUCAUCAGAGUGGAAGGGAAGUGGAGAAAAUUUCCGAGAUAUUCUAUUGAGCAAUCCAUCAUUUCUGAGUCUUGCAAAUGAGAUUUUUUUUAUCUUAACAGGAACAACCCAACUCCGCCUAUGUCUUACAUGGCCGGUCCCAAGCCCGGAUAAAGGAGGAGGGGGAGGGCGUCAGGUAGUCGACAGCCGGCACUCCAUGAUCACGUCGAAUCCUUAUGAAAAUGAACAGGAACAACCCUACAAUCUUACAGACAACUUCCUUAUAAAGUUUUGGAGAAUCCAACAGAAGACUCUUUUGAUUGCGCAAACGAGUUCAUCGACUGCAAAGGUAUUAGAAAAGGUAAUAAAUCUUUUAGUAAAUGUAGAGUCAAAAGGUAGUAGAAACCAUUGAUUGGCAUCUUGAGGCUAUCAUUGAUUUUCUUUCUAACCUUAAAAGUAAAUUCGAGUAGUAUUUGUCAAAUAUUUGGGUGAAUGUCUUAUAUUGAUUGUUGUAAUGUUACUUGAUGUAAUAAAUUCAAAAUUCAAAACAACUAAUUGAAAUAAAUCAUAGGAAUCCGAAGAAAAAAAAGCAUGAAAUCUGGACUCGCCUCAUUCUGCACAAAUGAGUUUAUCAGAUGCGUCAUGGCUUGGUCCUCCCUCAUCAUCAUGGCUUGGUCCUCCCUCAUCAUCAUGGCUUGCUCCUUCCUCAUCCCAAUCCCAGUCAAAAUCGCUUCUAGUGUCGUGCAUAUUUUCCUUCAUAAGUUUGUCCCAUACUAGAUUAACCCCUGUUCUCAUUAUUUUACAGAAUUAUCCCACUUCGCCAAUCGAAUUUCAAAAACUAUAUCAACUUUAUCCCCGCCUUGCAAAUUGAGCUCAUUGUUCGACAGUUGUCCCUGCCAAAGAUAAUCAUCUUCAUAAUUCUCAUACUCCACAGGUACUCUGGUUUUGUAGGCCAGCAACUUCGUACGCUUGGUAUUACUUAUAAUAGUAAUCUUAAGAUCAGGUAAUUCUUUUCUUCCGCAUUUGCGGAACAAGCAGAACAGAGUUAGCCCUUUAAAAUUAUGAUCAUCGGUCGGGAGAAUAUCAAAACUGACUUGAGUGCCCUCGUUGACAAAAGCAAACCAAUCAGGAACAUAAUUCCCAUGGAGAGCAAUGCCACCUAAUCCGCAAGAAGUCCAUCCCUAUAUAUACAAUACAAGUGUCAUAUAUAUAUAUACAUGUAUGCGCACGAUAGGAAGGCAAUGAGAGGGAGAGAGCGAGAUACCUGUAGGAUGUUCUUCCUAAAAUCAGCUGUGAGAUUGGUGCACCUUUUCAUAUCAAUCCACACCAUGGAGUUUAAUGACUUAUCCAAGCCUGGAACCUCAGUGAGUUUGGCUGAAUCACUUACAUCCAGUUCUCUCAUAUUUGACAUUUCCGAAAAGUCCGGCAUUGUUUCCAAUCCAGGGCAAUCAUCGGCAAGCAGAACUUUCAGAUUUGUUGGCAAAUCAAGGAUUGUACAAAGACAUUUGCUUCCAUUUAACCACAAUGUUUCGAGCUUUGAAAGACCACUGAGUUUUGGUAAGCUACGAAACUUAUUACCAUUCAAAGAUAAACGAGUGAGAUUCUUCAAUCCUACUAUGGAAGGUGGUACUUCUCUUAAGGCUGUUUCCUCUGCUUCAAGUAUUCUCAAUGAUAUCAUCUCCCCUAAAUCCUCAUGCACUUCUCUGAAAUCUCUACAUCCAUUAAGAAGAAGAGUCUCAACAGAUUUGGACUUAUAGAAAUCCCCUGGAAGAGAAAUAAGCUUAUCACACCACUUAAGGUUCACCAAAGAAAGUCUUUUAAGAUGACCAAUGGAGGGGUGAAUCUCGGACAAAAGGAAACACCCUUCCAUUAUCAACUCUUCAAGAUUUGGGACUUGUGAAAAGUCCAGUGAUUUCUGUAAGCACCAGGAAUAGCUGAGAUCAAGGGUUUUCAAGUUAUGUAGCGACUGUUGCAGAAAAUCAAAAGAAAAUUGAAAUUAAUAUCCGAAAUGAAGAUGUUAUAAAAAAAAGAGAAGAAAACCAAAAAACAAAUAGAAACAGAACAUCAUCAGGUGUAAUUCAUUGUACCUUGGAACCCUCCCAAACUUGUACCAGAUAGCUCCACUGCAUCUCUAAACCAACUAGUUUAUCUUGAUUGAAAAUGUCAUCUGGUAUGGACUUUAAAGGGCAUCCUUCCCAACUCAGAUAUUUGUAUUUUCCUUUGAGUUUUAUGCUGAUGCUGUAAAGGGAUAAACGAGUGAGAUUCUUCAAUCCUAAUAUGGAAGGUGGUACUUCUCUUAUGGCUGGUUGCUCUGCUUCAAGUGUUCUCAAUGAUAUCAUCUCCCCUAUAUCCUCAUGCAGUUCUCUGAAUUGGUAACAGCUAUUAAGAAGAAGAGUCUCAAUAGAUUUUGACUUAUAGAAAUCCCCUGGAAGAGAAAUAAGCUCGUGACAUCCGCUAAGGUUCACCAAAGAAAGUCUUUUAAGAUGACCAAUGGAGGGGUGAAUCUCGGACAAACUCUUACACGAUACCAAUAUCAACUCUUCAAGAUUUGGGACUUGUGAAAAGUCCGGUGAUUUCUGUAAGGAAUGGGAAUAGCUGAGAUCAAGGUUUUUCAAGUUAUGUAGCGACUGUUGCAGAAAAGCAAAAGAAAAUUGAAAUUAAUAUCUGAAAUGAAGAUGUUACAAAAAAAAGAGAAGAAAUCCAAAAAACAAAUAGAAACAGAACAUCAUCAGGUGUAAUUCAUUAUACCUUGGAACCCUUCCAAACUUGUACCAGUUUGCUAAACGGCAUGUGUAAAACAACUAGUCUUGGUUGAUUAAAAAAGUCAUCUGGUAUGGACUUUAAAGGGCAGUAAUUCCAACGCAACCAUAUUAACUCUUUGGGAAGAUGUUUGUAUUCUCCAUUGAGCUCUACGUUGCUGAGCAGAAGCAAUCUCAGUUUCUUCAUUUUGGCAAAUGCUUUUGUACUGAAACUAGUUCCUUUAGUGGAAUAUAGAGCAAGUCCUUCAAUUUUUCCAGUUCCCUGUUAACAAAAAAAAAAAAAGUUAUAGUGGUAAGAAACGGUAUAUCUGCAUAUGUUUACAUGUAUUAUUAUUAUUCAUUACGCAAAAUCACGUACGGUGAAUAUAUUUACACAUGAAUGUUGUUUAAUGUAUAAUUGACUUGCGCGGGUUACAUAUAUGGUUUUCUUGUAUGAUGCAUAAAUCCAAAAUUUAUUGGGAAUGAACUUACAGAUUUAUUUGUCAAUACAUCGGUGACCUCUUGACGGUUCCACAACCUACUCCAAUUUCCAGGGUGAUUAGGAGAUUUUUCAGAAAUGAUUACUCUGGCCAUUUCUCGAAGCAAAUCAUGCAUAUUCAAAUUGUUGCCUUCAACAGUUACAAGACAUCGUUCGCAAAGGACACUGAUUCCUACUAUUGCAUAAAAUCCACAUCCAUCUAAUAUUUUGGCAACAUAGUCCUUGUCCUUUCCAAUAAAGAAACAAGAUAUGUCAAGGAAUGUAGCCUUCUCUGUAUCAUUUAGCCCUUCAAAGCUUAUUCUUAGUGGUUUUAUUAUUUCUCCUUCAGGAAUUCUUUCCAAUUUCUCCAAUUGACUUUUCCACUCUUUAAUGGGUCUUUUAAACAAAAGAGAACCUAAAACUUCAAGGGCUAGUGGCAAACCUCCACAAUAAGAAACAACAUUUUUUGAGACUUCAAGAUAUUCUUCAUCAGGGCAACUUUUUUUAAAGGCAUGCCAACUAAAGAGCUCCAGAGCUUCUUCCUUAUUCAUUUCCCGAAGCGGAUAUGUCUUGUCCACUUCCACUUGCUUUAGUAAAUGUUUAUUUCGUGUCGUCAUGAUAAUUCUACUUCCUGGACCAAACCAAUCGUGACUUCGGGCUAUUGCAUCCAAUUGUUUCCGGUCAUCGAUAUCGUCAAUGAUGAUAAGUACCCUUCUAUGUUGAACUACUUGUUGUAUCAUACUGAUACCUAAGUCAACACUUUUUAUUUGAGACUUCUGUUUCAAGAUGUCAGAAAUAAGUGUUUCUUGCAAAUAAACCAGACCAUGUUUACUUGAAGUGUCGCGAACGUCGGCAAGGAAACUUUUGAAUUCAAACAUAUGAUGAAUUUGGUUAUAAAUGGCUUUGGCAGUUGUUGUUUUACCCAAGCCACCCAUCCCCCAAAUUCCAACCAUGAGAACAUCAUUUGAUCCACCACUUGAAAGAUCAUUGAUAAUAUCUUGAAUGCGAGAUUUGAUUCCAAUUGGGUGCUUGGCCACAUGUAAUUUGUUUGUUCUGUGGAGCCAUUCCCAAAUAUUCUGGUCAACAAUUUUUUUAAUGAACUCUGCUUCGUACCUGAAAAUUGAAUUCGUAAGCGUUAAUGGGACUCUGAGGCCCUGUAGGAGAUAUCAGUACAUAAACAAUUUUCUUUCUUUUCUUCAUAUAUAUAUAAUACACUAACUAGCAGCUAGCAUGUGAUUUUGUGCCGAUAACUUGAAUAAAAGAAAGAAAGUAGUUAGGUGUAUGAAUUAAACUACAAUUACGGGUUAGGUUUUAUAUGAGAGAUUAAGGUGUAUUCAUUAAGCAUGUGAACUAAAGUUUAGAUCCGUCGAGCUUUUCUUAAAAAAAAAAAAAAAAAAAAAAAAAAAAAAGAGGAUUAUAUAAAAUGUUAAUUAAGCAUGUUAAUUAAUUGAGAGAUCAAGUCAUUCACUAAAAUGUUUCAAAUCUUGAAAUAAGCAGGUAAAUGAUUACCCGUUGCCAGUUGUUUGGUGGUCAGACAAAUUUGUAGCUUCUGUAUGAGCCUCUCUUCGCCUCUUGCUGACAUGUGAAGGAUCAGCGUGAGAGAUUAAGGUGUAUUAAUUAAGUAUGUUAAUCAGAGUAUUACAACUUAAAUCUUGAAAAGCAGGUGAAUAAUUACCCAUCAUUAGCGAUUUUAAGAUGGUGGCCAGACAAUUUUCCAGCUUCUGUGAGAGCCUCUCUCCAUUGCUUUACCCUUUUUUGUUUAGCUUCACGUUUCUUGUCAUCUGUUUCUUCAUGGAUGUCCUUUUCGUGUUCCCGAAAUGCUUCAGCUAAAUCUCCGUUCUGAUUCCUGACAUGCGAAGGAUCAACGUGAUAGAAUAUUGGCAAAACAUGUCGCCCCAAUUUGUCUCUGCACUCCAUGAUCUUCACCAGCUCGUCAAGACACCAACUCGAAUCCGCAUACAUCUUUGAGAAGACAAUGAUAGAGAUCUUCGACUCUUCGAUUGCCCCUAACAGUUCCCCUCUUAUUUCUUCCCCUCUUUUUAGACCGUCCUCGUCAAUAAAGACACGGUAUCCUUUGUCUUUUAGUGCCUGGUGGAGGUAGCCGGUGAAGCCAUAUCGCGUGUCUUUGCCGCUGAAGCUCAAGAACACGUCGUAACUCCAAAGUUUUGACUUGGAGGAGGACGAAGAGGAGGCUUCGUGGGCUGUCAUGGUGGUAGCCACCGUUAUGGCACUGCAGUGGUUCAGAUCAGAGACUGAAAAAUGGCAAUGGUUGUGGAUGUGUUGCCGAAGGAUGAUACCUAAACACAAGUCAAGAUCCUUCAAUAAACAAAAGCAAAAGGUUUAUAAUAUAAUAAUGUUGGCGUAUGGACUGGAGAAACGACACGCUACCGGGCGGGAAGGGACAAGGAAAGAGAGUGGAAAAGAGGAAAGAAAGGAACACAAAAGGACAGACUACCGACACGUAAUAGGACGAUGGAAGGCAGGAAAACGUGUGUUGAUCCCUAGGAUCCCCAGCAAUUAGAUCCGGCGAGGAUCCAAUUCCGGCAGGAAAGAAAGGAACUCUGAAAUAUGCUUUAUCCACGUGAAGGAAAAGGCUCAUGUUUGCUUUUCUUCAAGAAUAUCUGAACACAAGGAAAAGGCUCACGUGAAGGAAAAAGGCUCCUGUUUAAUUAAGAUCUACCUCACAUUACAUUUAUUCCCAACCAAUGUUAGUAACAUUCUGUUUUAGUUUUGCCUUUAUACAUUAAUUUUCUCCAAGAACAUAUACAUUAAUUUUUUUCGCACUAUGUUUUUAUUCUGCUAUAUCUCUCCUUGCCAAAGAUAAUCGCUUUCGAGUUCAUGAGAUUUUGGUAGUACUGAGGUAAAUGUUAUUAAGGCGUGCAAAGCAGCAUGCUUGGUAGAAUUUAUAUCAACACUUUAAAUAUCACUUUCAGGCAUAACAAAAUCAGCAAUAUUUUCCUCAUAAGCAAACUCAAACCACUUGGGAAUAUCAUAAAUACAAUGAGACAAAUGCCACCACAUCGACAAGAAGUCCAUUCCUAUACAUGUUUAAGUGUACAAGAAUCUCACAUAAAAUUUGACAAAAUUAAAGGUAACUUAUAUUUGACAAAAUUAAAGAUAACUUAUAUUUGACAAAAUUAAAGAUAACUUAUAUUGUGGUUUCCACUUCUAAUUAUACCAAAGUAUUUUAUGAUUAAACUUUCAUAUAUGCUAUGUUGUGCAUGGGGUAAGAUUCAAGUUGAGAGAAAGUAUUGGUGUGAUUAAUGAUGGGUCGUUGAUCAAUCUAUAAAUCUUUACAAUAUUUGCAUUUGUUAUGUGUGUGUGGUAAGCUACCAAGGAUAAUACCGAAAUAAAUACCCAAGUCUAAAUCUUAAUAAUAUAGCUUUCACGUUAAAAACUUGAGAAAUGACCGAGUUCAAGGAACGGAGAGUUGCACAAAAUUGAAGUUGCAGAGACAAUCCAUUUUAGUAUAAAAAUAUUCACGUACAUAUAAACUAGCGCAGAGUCAAAGUCAUGCAACUUUGUCGUUUUGAGAUUUUAAUUAAACAUAUAAAGUUCUAUUUUUGUUGUUUUGAUUUUUAAACUGGUAGUAAAACGUUACCAGAUGAGCUUUUAAUUUAUAUUAGUCCUAAUUACUGUAAGAAACACCAUACCAACAAGCCACCAAAGUCUUAAGUGUUAUAUUAUAAAUAAAACUAGUUUUUGGUUUGGAAUUAUGAUGCUUUAUGGCUUCGUUUGGAGUUAUGAUGUUUUAUAAAAAAACUAAACAAUGAGAGAAGGUAUUGAUAAGAAUUUGCUCACCUUAUCCAAUCAAUGCCAAUGAUCCUGAAGUGAGUGUCAAGUGCAUUGAAAUUUGUAUAGAACUCUUUUUCCUGUCAAGUGCACUGAGAAUCACACAUCUGUGAAUCAUAAGAAUAAUGUUAGAAUUCUUUUUCCUGUCAAAUUGAAUGGUGAUGAUUUGAUUUAGUAAUCAUAAAUAUUUAACACAUUGUACUAAAAAAAAUUGAACGUAAUAAAGAAUGUAAGGAUUGACAAAAGUACAGACAUAAUCAGAAUUUUAGAAAGCAAAUUAUCAAACGUUCAAAUUUUUUAAAGCUUUUGGAUUAGUUUUUUACUUGCAUUGUUGUCUAUAAUUUAUUGAACUCCAAGAGAGAUAAUUGGGAAGCGAAGGUCCCAUGGGAUGGAAGGUUGUUGACAAUCGGUAACAGAUGAAAGCCCACAAAACUCAAAAAUAACUAUUUUUUAAAAUACGGGGUUUUGUAAAUCUUAUUAAGCUUUAAGCACAAAUGAGUUUGUUCUUAUAUUCACCAUUUAUUUUUUCUAUCGAUUAAGAGGCUAUAAUUUCAGGAAAAAAUUAGUAGGUCGAAGUCCUAUUCAAAAGAAAGAUAAUAAAUAUAUUUCAAUUUGAAAUUGGGCAUAAGGAAAAUGAGAAAAAAAAAAUUCUUUACUUUCAUUUGCAUCGAUGAGGAGAAUAGAGAUAAAGAGAACUACAUGCAAUUAGCUGUGCAAACCAUUUAUUUAAUAUUAAACUAAAUUAACAUUGAAAUCUUGAACUGCAUUACAAUAGUUGAGAUUAAGUUACUAAAAAAUGUUUUUUAAUAUUAACAGAGAGAUUAUAUAAUUGACAAAGAAACUAAAGAAGGUGCAUAUACAAAUAUAUAACUGCAUAUAUAUGUAUAUAUUAGUACUGUGUUUGGUGUGCUGGAGGAAUACAAAAAACUGAGACUUUUUUAAAGCAUAGAAACAGAGAGAAGAAACAAUUGGAAGUGAAGUUUGAAAUCUUAAGGAGGGGCAUUAAAAGAAGCACAAAAAUGUACGCUGAUGAUUUUGCACUUUGGUGAGUGGUAUUAGUAGCACUGCUUUUCUGGUUAACAAAAGUAGGACUUAUGGGGGUUGAGACACUUGUACAAAUCUUAUCAACAAAGGAAUAGAUGAUAUAUAUAAUUAUAUAUAGGUCAUAAAUUAAACAUGCCAGAUUUAUAAUAUGAAAAACUUUUAACAAAGCAAAAUUCUUUUCGUCCCAACUAUCACACACUAAACCUGUUUUGUUACUGUAUUUAUAAAAUAACUAAAGGUCACAGUACAAAAAGAGAAACAGUCCUGAGACCCCAACAAAAAUUUGCAAACUUUCAACAGCUAAAUAAUGGAUAUUAAAAUCAAAACUCUCAUGAGGCAUUUUCUUUAAAGAUUCCCAAUUCUCAACCACCAAUUUGUCAGGCAACACACUGAUUAGAUUCAGAUCUAACGGGUUGGAAUCAAGGAAAAUAAAUAAAAGAAAAAAGGGAAAAUCCCCACAGAUUUUGAAAUGUACAGAAUACCCCAGAUGGCCAAUAUGUAAAACCCCUCCCCCCCCCCCCAAAACAAAAACAAAAGUUGGGGGCAUAAGAAAGAUCUUAAGAUCAGAUCCCAGAAGAUAAAAAUUAUUAAAAAGUAAGAAAGUCAGUACCGUUUUACUGAAAACAGCAGCUUUCUCCUCCUCUCUUCAGAAACAACUACAACCAGAAGAAAAUAACCCCAAAAGAAAAAGGAUUAGUCCCAAACAAUUAAGUAAAUUCAAUUUAACUGACAGAAAAUUAAAAAAAAACCCAUUCCUUAUAAUUUCAGAUCGUAAUUUCAGGAUUAAAUUCUGCGAGAAAUUGGCAGAAAGGAAAGAGAUAGAUAGAUAUAUAGAUAGGGGGAGAGAGAGAAUGAACCUUAGCACCCAGAACAGAGAGAUAAACAUCCUCCAGUUGAAUUAAAGUUUCAAUAAAAAUGAUUAAUCAGAGAGCCGAAAAGGAGUACGCUUUGGAGAAGAGUUUGAGAGAAAGUUGGGUUACAGUGAAAGUAAAACUGUAGAACGGACCAGAUAGAUCUUCAUGUAUAGAAAUAUUGGGGGUAGAGCAAGUUGGGUUAGAGUGAUAUAGUUUUGGCAAGUGACAGGCAGGGCAAGGAAAAUGUGGAUGGAGCAAUGCCAAAAGUCUACGUGCUAUAUUAUAAGAUGAGGCUUUAAUUUAUAUUAGUCAUAAUUUCCUAGUAAAAAUCACUAUACCAACAAGCCACAAAAGUCUACGUGCUAUAUUAUAUAAAUAAAAUUAGUUUCUGUUUUGGAGUUAUGGUGCUUUAAAAGAGUUUGAACGAAAUACUUCUGGUAUUGUUUAUUUUUAAAUAAAAAUCAUAUUUUUACAUUUCCUUGAUACUAUUCAGUACAUCUUUAUUUAUCAUUUUUUAUUAAAACUAAAAAAAAAUUUGAACUUUUCGUUAGUUUUCUUGCUUUAAAAAGAAAAAAUUUAUUAAAAAAUUUGAGACAUUAAAUUUGUUUGCUAAAAAGAAAUGCUUUUGUAAACAACUGAUGUCAAGAAGCAUCGUUGAAGAUAAGGAAAUUGAGCGUCUCCAAAGCAAAAUAUAUGAAAGUCCUGAGUGAAUGAGUGAAGAAACAACCGAAGUUAGAGCCCACCGCACAUCGCCACCCACUCUCAUACAUCUUGUCAAACUGAAAAAAACAAACGCAAACACCCAUUAUUUUAGCGAGAGAAAAUAAACUAAUAUUACUGUAAAACAAACAAAGAUCAUCAACUUAUUUUAGGACAAAAUUUUAUAAUACUAGCAUAAAAUUAUGUUAAAAAAUAUAAAAUGACGAGAAAUUCAUACAGAUUUUUAUUUUUGUUAAAGUUUCCUUUAACUUUUUUCUUGUUUUAAUUAGUGAUAACUAUUUUAAGUCUCCUCUGAAAGCAAAGCAUCUUUUGAGGUCACUCUUUAAAAAUUAAUUAUACUAAAGUUCAACAAAACAUAAUAAUAAUUAAACAAAUCAUGUUAUUUAACUCAAGUUUUGACAUGAAGGAGGAUGAAGAGAAGGCUCCAUGGACUGUCAUGGCGGUAUUCACCGAUAUGGUGCUGCAAUGAUUCAGAUCACUACUGAAAAAAUGGCAGUAGUUGUGUUUUGUUUGAUUUAUUGAAUUCAAUGUUUAAAAUGUAAUCAUCUUCUCCAAGUGAAGGACUUUUUAAGUCUCCUCCGUGUAAUAGUCACAGGUCGGUGGAAAAGCAAGUUAAGCUCCUUCAAUGAACAAGAGCAAAAGUAAUCCUCCACUCUAUUUCUUACUUGUUUCGCGGCAACGACAUCCAAACGCGAAACAUCUUCAUGAUUUCGGCCCACCCAACAAGACCAGUAUAUCGACCUUUAAGGCUACAAAUGGGCCUGCCCUUGUGGGCCUUAAUUUUGGGCUAUUGGCCCUCAUUAUCAUAAAACAGGAACCAAUACUCCCUACGAUGCCGUUUCAUGACUUAUUUGGGACUGUACAGUCUGUACCGUACAUUUGUCCUUUUUACCGCCAGGUCCUUGCCGGAUCCGCAUUCGCUCCGAAAGUCCUCUCACCAUCCUUUGUGUUCUCGUUAAUUUUUAUUAAAAAAAGAAUAUAAACAAAUAAUAUUACUCUCUUCUAAAAGCCAGCAGAAAAAAAAAAAAUCGAGAUCCUUCAAUCGUCGGCAUGAUGUACACAUGUUGUUCACCAUGGGAAGGGAAAAAUCGGAGUCUUCCAUUUGCUUCCAGAACUCUGGAGCUCUCUCUUGGACCCGAACCCCUGGCCUCCACAAAUGCGGCUCACCCAUGUUUUUGUGGUGUAUAAUUUGAUCAACCGUGAGCUGCCAACCACUUGGAAAAUGCUAGAUUUAGAUUGAGCUGUUUAUAAGAUGGUUUACCUAUUAUCUUUUAAUUUCAUAGACCCCUUGUAAGUUGUAAGCAAUCCAAUAAAAACAGGUUUGGUCAUGAUUGAAAAUGGAGUUUACUCAAGUAAACCAUCUCCAAGAAUACGCAUAUGAAAACGUGAAACAAAUUGCACGCUAACCUAAUACUAAUCAUAAUAAUGUACAAAAGUUAAAUAUAGAAUCAUAGCAACAGAGGUAUGCAGAUUCAAUUUUGCGAUGGCAACAAAUUAAAAUUGCUCACACAAAAAAUUAUUCUUCUACAUCUUUGAUGGGAACAUAAUCCUCUACUUUUUUUACCAAAAGAAAAAAAAAAAAACACACACACACACACACAACAGGAUAACUAAAGGAGGAUGAUUAUCUACCCUCCUAUUCUCAUCCCCUCCUCUUACACAUUGUUUUUUGUCUUAUUAUCUCUAUAAAAAAAUCAAUAUAAGAUGUUGACGUGGCUUAACCGUGACCGUUCAAAUAGGAGAGGAUGGAAGGGUGGAGAGAUUAGGAGGGUAAAGAAUACUCCUCCAUAACUAAGGUCCUUAUUAGUCAUUUUACAAAUGGAUAAAUUUGUAAUUAAAAAAUUCAUUAAAAAGUGAGUGGGAAGAUAAGACAUUAGGAUGAAAAUAACAACUCUCAAAAUAUAUAUGACUAUUGGACGCGACGAAUAUCAUUUUGUAUUACAAAAUAAGUUAAAAAAUGUCACUUAGUACUACAGUCUAGUGGUAUUACUCUCAACUUGUAAGUGAGAGGUUUUAAGUUCAAUUCUUGCCAAAAGUGAAUUUGAACUAUAUUAUUACUAGUCCAUUAUGAGGCUAAGCUAACCUCAUAUCUCUUAGUGUAGAUAUAUCAUUUGUUAAACAAAAAAAAGAAGCACAACAUAGCAAUGCAUGGUUGAGACAUAGACUCGUGAGUUGUUUAAUUAUUCCUUCAAGAAAGCCUAACUUCCUCAUCUCUCUUGAAUCUUAACGGACGAUAUUGCAUCAAGGACUUGCUUCUCUCGCUGUGUGUGUGUGUGUGUGUGAAUGGUACCUUUUGAUAUGGUUAAAAUGUGGGUUAUCAGUAAUUCAGCUAUGGCCAACAAAUACCAACUUAUACACCAUUUAUAGGUUCAACCAAAAUUUUAUGACGCAGUUGUACACAUAUAUGGAGUAAUGCAUCGGUUAUAAAUGACAAAAGAACGAGGAUGAGGAGUGAUUUCCGUAGUCUCUUGUUGUCCACCUGCACUCCUUAAGUUUGUUAUAUUCUUUUAUAUUGAACAAAAUAAAAGAGAACUAGUGGGCAUAAAUAAUGAGGUGUGAAGAUCAUUACUCUAAACAAAUCCCUUUUAUCUUUUUUUUUUAAAGAAAGGGACCAGCUGGUGACUUCGCCACGACAGUCUACCUGGGAGUCAGGAAGACUUACAUAGGCAUUUUAGCCAUCUCAUGGCCAUCAUCGUGUAAUUCGCCAAUGCUAGGAAUUGAAUUGAACAUAAGAUAUGCCACUUGAAAUACAAGCCUGAAAUUCAUCCCCGACCACUGGGCCAUCCUAUGGUGGUUCAAGCAGAUCACAUUUUUAGACUGUUUGAAUUAAUAUGCCAAUUAUCAAUAAUAAUUAAUGUUACAAGUGGUCGUCACUUUGGAGAGUUAUCAGUUUGAUUCGGUUCCAUUCUUAAACAAUACACCAAUCAACGUAGCAACAUCGUUCAAAUUGAUUUUGAUUUUAGCAGUUUCCAAAUACAUCAAACCGAGCCAAACCAAGCCAAGCUAUGGAUUUAGUUCAAUCUGAAAUUGCUCCCUUUCAUUAUAAAAUACGUUAAACUGCUUGGAUUGGUUUCCAUACAAUGAUAUCAUUUUUUGGGGCAAUGCAAUGUUUUAUUUCCAUUAGAAGCAGAGGCAUAAAUUUAUAUGAAACUCGUUAUUCAUAAAAUUCAAAUUUAAAAUCUCUUAUCUAUAAGUGAAAAGAAAUAUUACUAUAUCAUAAUAUUAAGUGUCAGCCACUUGAAAUGGUUUAGUUUGAACAGUUCGGACGAUUUUUCCCCACACCUGCGUACUCGCCGCAAAAGUGAUGUGCCAUGUCGGACUGGAUCAUCCUAUAGCCAUUGGGCCAUAAUGGGCCAAUUCAUGCCUUCGGCCCACCUAACAUAUCGACCUUUAAGGCUACACAUGGGCCUGCCCUUGUCGGUUGUCCGUUACAAUGUUGGUGUUGAUUUUGGCCAUUUGCCCUCAUUCUCACAAAAGGGGAACCAAUCCCCCUACGAUGCCGUUUGUUGACAUACUUGGGACCGUACCGUACAUUUGCCUUUUUUGUUGCAAAAUUCAGAAAAACCCGGCGAACAGGCGCCAAAAAUAUAGAGGGGAGUUCCGACGCCGCAAUCGAACCCUAAGAAGCAAAUGGUGGUGCUUCGGGGACCUUGAACAAGUGAAGGCGAUGAUCCUGACCCACUCCGCCUUGCCCGACGACACGCGUACGGUGGUGAAUACAGUGCAAGCCGAGCUCACUAACAUGGACCUCAAAUCCAUCUCCGCCAGGUCCUUGCCCGACCCGCAUGCGAUCUCAAAGUCCUCUCACAUCCUCGGCCCCAAAGUCCUCCAGGUUAAUCACACCUCUCUAUAGUUCUCGUUAAUUUUUCUUGUUUUCUGUUUGGUUGCCGAGAAAAAAGAUUAAGAGAAAGAAAAAUGUGGUCUUUCGUUUGGGGUUUAUUAUUUAUUUAUCAGAAUGCUUGGGUAAGAGACGUUGGUAAAAUCUUGUUCCAAGUUACUUUCUGAUACUUGAUGCUUUUUUGAUUUUGAAUAUGUUCAGUUUAGUAUUCAAACUUAGCAUUUCAUAAUCUAGCUCAAUUUCAUGCUAGUUUGAAUACCAAACUGAACGUAUUCAAAAAUCCAAACCUUAUGCUAGCAUGUCAGGAGUCAAGAUUAAUGAAAAGGUACUAGAACUGUUGACUGACGUCUUGAAGCUUUCAUUGAUUUUCUAACCUUAAAAGUAAAUUCCUGAAAUAUGUGGUGGAAGCAGGGUAAGUAUUUGUGCGAAUUCGAGUAGUAUUUGUCAAACCUUUUGAUGAAUGUCUUAUAUUGAUUGUUGUAAUGUUGAAAUGUUUCUAGAUGCAAUAUAUGUAAGUAAAUUAUGCAACGGAAAAACUUAUUCACAAUUAUCAACUUAACCACUUACCUGUAGAAGACAUCGUCUCAGAGAACUAGGAUUAAUAACUGAAGUUCUUCUGCAACUCUACACAACCGAAAGCAAGGCUCGCUCAAUGGGGCUUGAGUUUUCUGUAAACUUGCGUGUUCUGUGAGAGAGCAGGGACCUCAGUUUUAUACUUCAUACGAUGGAAUUCAAUCAGGAUCCCUCCCAUUAAGUGAUCCUUAUCAAAGAGUAGCCUUAUCACCGUGAAACACUUAUGCAUUAUAUCAGCUAGAAGAGUUCUAGUCUUACCGAGAAUGUAUCUGACUUGAAUCUCCAAAGAAAUACAAUUCCUGAUAAGUCUACCACAAGUGUCAAUCCUAAUCUCCUUAUCAUUCCAAAUGUCUUUAAUCAAAUCACAAAGUGUUUGCUCUCAUAUAGAACUUACAUUCUCCCACUAGAGCAAAUACUUUGUCAACUUGUAUAGUUUAUACUUAAUAUGGAAUGAAUCUGAAUUGGCCAUGAGAUUAGUCUUUGACAUUUUCUCGAUUUACCAGUCUCUGUCAUUAACAAGUAUUCAUGAGAACUAUAGGGCAACACACUCAACUUUCAAAGAGUACCGUCCCCAUAAUUACUUACAAUGAAACUAACCAACACAUGAGACUCCAACAAGAUAUAAAAACAAUGUAAGACAUGACUGGAUAUGUAUUUGUAAUAUGUCAAACAUUUGGUCCCCUUCAGGAUUGAAAGCAAUCCCAAUGCUUCUGAACGAAGCCCUUAGGUUGUUUUUUCCUUCAUGAUAAUUCAAGAUCAUUAAUCAUCAUGCAUAAAAACAUUCAUGCAUUAUCAUAACUAUAUGCUGUAUACUUUUUGGGAACUUUAACAACCUUACAACAUUUUUCUUUAUUAGCUAAGAAGCCUUUAUUAUUAAUACUCGAAUACAACUUCCAGAACAUGAACUGCAACUGAAGAAAAACUAACAUUUAAAAUGAACCUGAUAUGCAGCUCCCACUGAUUUCCUGCAUCAGUUUGCUCCCACUGGUUUCCUGCAUGAGUUUGCUGCAUCAAAAUCACCCAUUACCCCUAUGCUUUGCUGACAUGCUUCUUGAAAACCGCUAUGAUAACAGCCUUAUUCAAUGGAUGAACAAUCAUUGAAUUAGUCUCCAAUUACUCAAUCUUGACCAAACUAGCUACCACCUUUUCUCGAGAAAUGAGAUACUUCAUAUCCAAGUUCCUUGUUGCAUUUUACCUUUUAUUAUUCUAAGUGAAAAAUAUAGCUACUCUGUCGUCAAAUAAAUCUGUAUAGGUCUCCAAGAUUGAGUCUACCUCUUGUAGUCCUGUUAUGAAAUUCUUCAACCAAAUGGCUAGAUUCACAGUUUCACAAUAGGACAAGUAUUCUGCAAACAUAGUUUGAAGCAACCACAGUCUGUUAUUUUACACUCUUCCAAGAUACUGCUCCACAUGCCAUUAAGAUCACACAACCCCAUGUUGAUUUCAUAUCAUCUGGACAACCCGCAAAAUCUAAGUCAUUGUAACCUUCUAAAACGAUGUUUUAUGUCCUUAUGUAGACUAACAUAUGAUCUUUGGUCCUAUGUCAUUCUGUAGACUAACGUAUGAUCUUUUAGUUCUCUAAAGAUAUCUCUACACUCUUUGCUGCAUUCUAGUAAGCCUCUCCAGCACUGGAUUGGAACCUACCAAGCACCGAAAUGGUGAAGGCUAAAUCAGGCCUUGUGCACACUUGUGCAUACAUCAAACUCCCAACCCAGGAUGCAUAUUGCUUAUCUUCCAUCAUCUUCCUCUCCAAGUCUGUUUUGGGACACUACAGUUCGAUCAAUAUAUCACCCUUUGAUAUGGGCAUUUCUGUAGUCUCACAUGAAGACAUAUUAAAUCUUUUUUAUGUAUGCUCUUUGUGGAAAACCCAACAGCCCUCUUAUUCUCUCACUUUUGAUCUGAAUCCCUUGGACAUAAGUGUCAUCUCUCAGGUCUUUCAUCUCGAAGUGUCUUUGCAAGAAAACUUUAGUUUCAUCCAACAAACUAUGACUAUUUGUGGUGAGCAAUAUAGCAUCUACAUAAAGAACUAGAAUGAUAAAAUUGCUCCCACAGAAUCUCAAAUAAACACAAUUUAUCUGAUGGGUUCUCUAUGAAACCUUCUUUUACAACUCGAUGAAAUUUUAGGUACCAUUGUCUUGAUGUCUGCUGUAAUCCAAUUGUCUAUUUUUGGACUCGAGAUGACUUGUUUGAAAAUCCCAGGAUCACAAAACUCUGAUAAAUUAAAAUCUGUCUCUACCAAAUACACAAAAUAUGAUGAGAAUGUUGACUUUCUUACCCUAUCUGAUUUCCUCAAAACAGUGGAACAUUACCGACUGCCAAAACUGUUGACUCCAGUCGGUGGUUACUGCCAUUCACGGCUGCUUCAUCUUCAUCCACGUGUCCUUGCUGAUUUCCUGCAUGCGGUUCACCGUCUAACAACACCUCAAUUUCAGUGUCAUGCUUCAGUUCAUUGCCACUUGAAACUCUUUCCUCCACGUGCCUUGUAUGAUGACGAAUUUGCUGCUCACCAUGCAACAACACAUCAUUUUUGCCAUGCUGAAAAUAGCAAUCAUCAUAGCCCUCAUCUUCUUCCACUUGACUUGGAAGUUCAACCACUAUUGCUACAGUCGGUGUUGGCUCAGUAUUAAUCCCUAUUUGGCCAUUUCAGUAUUAAUCUCCAUUUGACCAUCUUCUUGCCACGUUUGUCAGGUGUCAAUUCCACGUACCCCGCAUGAGUGUUUGCAUGUUGUUGCAAUCGGUGUAGUCGGUGCUCACUGCUGCUGGCCACGUUUGUUUGCUGGUUGUCGGUGAUCGCAGCUGCCACUCACAGUUACUGACUCAUCAUGGCUUGCAUGAUCAUGAGUAUGUUUCUCAUUGAGCAACAGCACAUUAUCGGUGCUUUGGUGUAACAGACCAUCAUCAUUACACAUACUUAAUUUCUUAUAAUUGAUCUGUAAUUUCAACCAAGGCUGCUGCAAUCGGUGAAUGUUCAGCAUCAUUCCCCAUUUAAUCAUCUUCUUCAAAUAUAAGAUUGUCAUUGUCCAUCUCUAACUCCAUAAACAACUUGGUAGAUUAGUCUUACAAAUCGUACUCCUUACUAUGUCCAUUAGGGUUCUCCUUCUUUUCUUAGCCACUUCGUUUUGCUCGAGAUUUCUAGUGUGGUGUAUUGAGCUACAAUUCCAUUUUCUUGUAGAAAAAAAAAAAAGGGCAAAUGGACUAAGAUGUCUGCCAGUUUGAGUGUAUCUACCAUUGUAUUCACCUCUCCUAUCAGACCUAACCUCCUUAAAUUUUUUUUUUUUUUUUUUUUUUUUUUUUUCUUCCAAUUGGUUUUCGAUGUCAAUUUUGAAAUCUUAAAGUUUCAAGUGCAUUUGAUUAUUUUGAAUUAGAUAGAUGAAACAAAAUCAAGAAAAGGUAGUUUAUGAAAUAUUUAUGUCCCUCUAUAGUUUGUGUGGGAAAAAAGACCACAAACGUCCGUAUGGAUGAUUUCUAAAGUUUCUUUGCUUCUUGUUGAUCCUUUCUUUCUACUACUUGUCAUUUUUCCCUUAGCAUAAUCCACACAGAACUCAAAACCAUUAAAAAUUACGGGAGGCAAAAUAUCAUUAUUGACAAGUAACUCAUCCUUUGUUUUGACAUAUGACCUAGCCUCUUUUGCUAUAAGUUUGAUGAUUGUCGAGUCUUAGUAUGUUCAUUUGAAUGUUAAAAUAAAUUCGACUUUGUUGAGUUUUAUUUGAUGUUCUCCUUGUUAUGAAGUUCUGCAAUGAAUUCGUAACAUGAAUAGAAAAGCUAGAGUCAAGCCACCAUUUAGUGCUAGGUAUAAUAAUUAAAUUAGACUCAAAACAAGCAAAAAAGUUUUUACCUUUCUUCAUAUGGCAAGCCAAGCCUUAUACAAAAAUAAUGUUUGAGAAUCGAUGGCUUGUUAGGUUUGGUGUUUCUUUUAGGAGAGGGAACCCUUUUGGUAGAAUUCUUUCUAGUAUCGGUGGUUAAGGGUGUAUGUGCCUCGGUGGUACUUCGUACAUAGUUCAAAGACUUAAUCUUCUCAUUUUCAAACUUUUUCAUCCUUUCCUCCUCACUCACACAUACUGAAAUUAACUCAUUCACAUCCCACUUUUCACGCAAUGCAUUGUAGGACAAUUUGAGAUGUGUAUAACUAUCAGGCAGGGAACUCAAUAUCACAUGUACCAAGAAAGUUUCAGGGAUUAGUACCUCGAGAGCUUUGAGUUUUCCAGCGAUGUCCACCAUUUUUAAAAUGUACUCACACACACUCUCUAUGCCAUCAUGUCUCAUGUUUGUCAGUGAAUUCAUGAGAUUACCUGUUUCAAUUUUUGGUGACUCCUGGUACUUUUCUUCAAUGGACUUAAGGAAAUUGUUUGCAUUGGUAGCAUCCGUCUCAGUUUUUGGUGACUCUUGGUACUUCUGCUCAAUGGACUUGAGAAAUCCUUUGCAUUGGUAGCAUCUGUGAAGGCUCCUCGAACCACAUCAAUCAUGCUUCUUUUGAUAAUCAAUAAGGAAAUUCUGUUUGAUUUGUGCCACUUUUCAUAUUUAGACUUCUGACUUGAGGUGCUUCCAUCUGUUCGUGUAGGGGGCUCUUCAGUUCUAAGUGCUAAGUCCCAAUCCAUGACACCUAGCACGAUCUCAAGAUCUUGCUUCCAUUUCUUAUAGUUGACACCAGUGAGUGGUUCAACUGUAUUAAGGUGCAUGGAGCUAGGAUUCAUAACUGUCAAAGCACAUAGUUCAGUUAUUAAUCCUAGUUCUUUGAGACGAUGUCUUCUACAGGUAAGUGGUUAAGUUGAUAAUUGUGAAUAAGUUUUUCCGUUGCAUAAUUUACUUACAAUAUAUCUUCAAAAUUCAAAACAACUAAUUGAAAACAAUCAUAGGAAUCUGAAAGAAGUAUGAAAUAUGGACUGGUCUUCAUUAUCGAACUGGAAAAGCGAAAAACAAAAGAGGCGUUUGACGAACGGACUCUGAUGUGACUCUGAUAUGUGAUGAUGACGAAUCACCACCUAGAUUGUGCCUCACCAUUGAACCAAGCUGGAUGUCCCAUACUAGAUUAACCCAUGUUGUAAUUAAUGAAACAUAAUUGUAUGAUCCAGCCAAAUUAGAUCAACUUCAACUUUAUCCCUGCCUUGCAGAUUGAGCUUCAAGACACGAGUCGGAGUGCAGAUGAUGGCAGAAUGUUUGAAAGUGGAGAAAAAUUCGGAGAUUUUCUGUUGAGAAAUCCAUCACUUUAGUUUUGCUGAAUGUUACCUGAACAAGUAGAUGAGUGAUCAAGAGACAAAGAAAGGCGUGUAAGAGGAUCUUUGUCCAUUGGGUCGGAUAUGUGAUCUCUGUUACUGACUGCAGGACCCUGUGGCUGGAAGAGUACUGGGAGAUUCUCCAGACGAGUUUGAGGCUGAGCAUGAGGCUGCCACAAACGAGGCUGUCGCAAACGAGACUGAAUAUGACGGCCUGCAGGAAGAGUAUCAAGAGACAAGGAAGGGCAUAAAUGCGCACGGUCAAGGGGAUCAUGAUCAUGCACUACUACUGCUAGUUUUCUUCUGUCACAUGCGCCCAUUAAGUCGGCUAUGCUCUCUUCCAUCACUUCACCUGAUGCGAAUCCUGAUGUACUCCUUGACUUUUUAACUUCAUCUUCAUCUUCAUCUUCAUCUUCAUCUUCAUCUCCAUCUCCAUCUUCAUCUUCAUCUCCAUCUCCAUCUUCAUCUUCAUCUUCAUCUUCAUCUCCAUCUUCAUCUUCAUAUGUGCAUGGUUCUUCAACUUCGUCUUCAUCUUUAUCUGUACUUGGUUCUUCAUCUUCAUCUUCAUCUGUACAUGGUUCUUCAUCUUCAUCUUCAUCAGAUGCCCACACAACAGCAGAUGACUCCGCGUAGAACCGAGCUGGAUGUCGGUAAAAACCAUAAUCAACUUUGUCCAAAUCAUUCGUAUUUUCCUUCAUAGGUUUGUUCCACACUAGAUUAACCAUUGUUCUCUUCAAUGACACUGGAUGGUAAGUUGUUCUCUUCGGUGGCCCAUAAUAAUUAGAUAUUAUAACUUCAAUUUUAUCCCCACUUUCCAAUUCGAGCAUAUCGUUCGAUAAUUGACCUUGCCAAAGUAAGUACUUAUUCCAAAUUUGGUUGCCAAAGAAAACGUGCAACUCAGUACGCUUGGUAUUAUUUAUAACAGUAAUGCCAAAUUUAAAAAUUUGUGCAACUACAUAGUUGCAAAAGCAGCACACAGUCAACCCUUCAAAAGUACGGCCAUCGUUCGGGGGAAUAUCAAAACUGACUCUAUUACCAUCGUUAACAAACUCAAACCAAUCAGGAACAAAAUUCCUGUACAGAAAAAUGCCACCAAAUCCGCAAGAAGUCCAUCCCUAUAUAUACAAUGCAAGUGUCAAAUAUAUAUACAUGUACCUGUGCGUUUGUGUGUGCAUGCACACGAUAGGAACAGAGAGAGAGAGAGAGAGAGAGAGAGAGAGAGAGAGAGAGAGAGAGAGAGAGAGAGAGAGAGAGAGAGAGAGAGAGAGAGAGAGAUACCUGUAGGAUGUUCUUCCUAAAAUCAGUUGUGAGAUUGAUGCACCCUCGCAUAUUAAUCCAUGUCAUGGAGUUUAAUGACUUGUGCAAGCCUGGAACUUCAGUGAGUUUGUGUGAAUUCCUUACUUUCAGUUCUCUCAUAUUUGACAUUUCCGAAAAAUUGGGCAUUGUUUUCAAUGCAGGGCACUCAUUCGCAUACAGAAAUUUCAAACUUGUUGGUAAAUCAGAUAUUGUAUGAAGUUUCUUGCAAUUAUAUAACUCCAGAGCUUCAAGCUUUGAAAGACCACUGAGGCUGGGUAGGAUACGAAAAUAGUUCGAUCCAAGGUGCAAAGCUUGUAAAGAAAUUAGACUCCCAAGAUCCUUAAGGAUUCCAUCAUCAUCUAAACUGCAGGAUGAGAGAUAUAAAUGAGUGAGAUUCUUCAAUCUUACUAUGGAAGGUGGUACUCGUCUAAUGGCUGUGAAAUCCGCUACAAGUGUUCUCAGUGAUAUCAUCUCCCCUAUAUCCUCAUGCAGUUCUACGAAUUUUGAACAUCCACUAAGAAGAAGAGUCUCAACAGAUUUCGACUUGUAGAAAUCCCCUGGAAGAGAAAUAAGAUUGAGACACCUCUCAAGGUUCACCAAAGAAAGUCUUUUAAGAUGACCAACGGAGGGGUGAAUCUCGGACAACCUCUCACAACUUUGCAAUAUCAACUCUUCAAGAUUUGGGACUUGUGAAAAGUCUGGUGAUUUCUGUAAGGACCAGGAAUGGCUGAGAUUAAGGGUUUUCAAGUUAUGUAGCGACUGUUGCAGAAAAUCAAAAGAAAAUUGAAAUUAAUAUCCGAAAUGAAGAUGUUAUAAAAUAAAAAAAGAGAUGAAAUCCAAAAAACAAAUAGAAACAGAACAUCAUCAGGUGGAAUUCAGUGUACCUUGGAACCCUCCCAAACUUGUACCAGUUCGCUCCCCUGCAUGUCUAAAAUAACUAGUUUAUCUUGAUUGAAAAAGUCAUUUGGUAUGGACUUUAAAUGGCACCCUCCCCAGCACAACCAUAUUAAUUCUCUGGGAAAAUGUUUGUAUUCUCCUUUGAGCUCUGCGUCGCUGAAGUGAAGCAAUUUCAGUUUCUUCAUAUUGGCAAAUGCUUCUGUACUGAAACUAGGCAUGUAGCUCAACAAAUGAUCAGGGGAUUGUAGAAAAAGUCCUUCAACUUCUUCGGUUCCCUGUUAACAAAAGGUUAUAUUCAUGUGUAAGAAACGGAUUAUUUGCAUAUUAUUAUUCAUUAUGUUAAAUCACCUACGGUGAAUAUAUUUACACAUAAAUCUUGUUUAGUGUAUAAUAGACAUACAUGGGUUAUAUAUAUGUUUUCAAGUAGAAUGCAUUAAUGCAAAAUUUUAUUGGGAAUGUACUUACAGAUUUAUUUUCCAAGACAUCGACGACCUCUUGAUAGUUCCACAACCUACUCCAUUUUCCAAGGUGAUUAGGGGAUUUUCAGAAAUGAUUACCCUGGCCAUUUCUCGAAGCAAAUCAUGCAUAUUCAACACAUUGUCUUCAACCGUUACAAGGCAUCGUUCACGGAGGACACUGAUUUCUAUUGUCGCAAAAAAUCCACAUCCAUCUAAUAUUUUUGCGACAUAGUCCUUGUUCAUUCGAAUAAAGAAACAAGAUAUGUCAAGGAAUAUAGCCUUCUGUCUAUCAUCUAGACCAUCAAAGCUUAUUCUUAGUGGUUUUAUUAUUUUUCCAUCUGGAGUUCUUUCCAAUUUCUCCAAUUGACUUUCCCACUCUGCCAUGGUUCUUUCAUACAAAAAUGAACCUAAAACUUUAAGGGCUAGUGGCAAACCUCCACAAUAAGAAACAACCUUUUUUGAGAGUUCAAGAUAUCCUUUGUUUGGACAACUAUUUCCAAAGGCAUGCCAACUAAAGAGCUCCAGAGCUUCUCCUUUCUCGAAUUUCUGAGCCGGAUAUAUGUUGUGCACUUUCCCUUGCUUUAGUAAAUGUUCAUCUCUUGUUGUUAGGAUAAUUCUACUCCCUGGACCAAACCAAUUAUGAUUUCCAGCUAUUGCAUCCAGUUGUUCUUCUUUGUCUAUGUUGUCCAAGAUGACAAGUACCCUUUUAUGUCGAAAUUGUUGUAUCAUACCGAUACCUUCAUCAACAGAGCUUAUUUCAAGCUUCUUUUUCAAGAUGUCAGAAAUAAGUUUUUCUUGCAAAUAAACCAGACCAUGUUUACUUGUAGCAUCGCGAACGUCGGCAAGGAAACUUUUGAAUUGGAACAUAGGAUGAAUUUGGUUAUAAAUGGCUUUGGCAAUUGUUGUUUUACCCACUCCACCCAUCCCCCAAAUUCCAACCAUGCGAACAUCAUUUGAUCCACCACUUGAAAGAUAAGUGAUGAUAUCUUGAAUGCGAGAAUCGAUUCCAACUGGAUGAUUGGCCACAUGUAAUUCGUUUGUGCUGGUGAGCCAUUUACAAAUAUUCUCAUCAACAAUUUUUCUAAUGAACUCUGCUUCGCGCCUGAAAAUUGAAUUCGUAAGCAUUAGUGGACGCAAUGAAGGCUUUGUAGGAUACAUCAGUACAUAAACAAUUUUCUUUCUUUAUGUAUUUAAUAUGGAAUCAACUUACUCAUACAUUUAUGUAUUUAAUCUGUAGAGAAUUUUAUUUUUUUUCUUUCCUAAUAUGCCCCUAAUUUAAUGUUCCAGAUUUUAACCAAACAAUUAUUGCUUCUCUUUUUUAUUAAAAUAUAGCUUUUUAAACAUUUCUAAUUUGUUAUGGAUUUUUUUUUGUUUAAAUAAAUUAUGUUCUGAAGCUCUGGGUGGAGUUGUCUUCCAAUUUUAUUUUCUUUUAAAUUGUCCUUGCCGUUCUUUUUUCAAAUGCAUUAUUCUGUUCCUGGAAAUUUCUUCCCACUAAAAACAAUAUAGGAGGACAAAGUUAACCAAGAAUUGGUACAAGAAAAGAAAAUGACAAAUGGGAAUUCAAAGUGGAAAAUAAAAUGCUAAUAUAAGAUUCUUUUUUAAUUCUUUUACUUUGUUUAAUUGCAUUAUUUUUAUAACAAUUUCCACAAUUUUUUUACAUGAAUUUCACAAAAUCGGUAUUUCAAUGAAUCUUUCUCUUGUAUCAUAUAAAAGCCGGAGGUUUAUAAGUUAUAAUGUUUUUUUUGUCUGUUGGAUAUAAAUUAUAAUGCUGGAAUAUCUAUAAAUAGUAGGCAGUGACCCCCUAUAUUGAUUUUGUGGAGAUUAAAAAAUGGGAGUUUUAACGAAAAGCCCACGGUACUGUUCACUUUAACGAAAAACCACAUUUUUACACUAAAAGUCAAACCUGGUACUAUUCAUUUUACCCUUUAUUUUGUCCUUAUCAUUAAAACUCAAAGUUUUCAAGCCCUUUUCAUUAGUUUUCUUUUAAAAAAUCUCAGAAGAUGGCAAAGCAAAAAGAAAAAAAAAUGUCAAAACUAAUAAGAAAUGCUUAAAAAUAAAUUUUAAUAAAAAAAAUAUAAGUAAUAAUUGAUGGGUUAAAAUCUGAAACAUUAAUUAGGGGCGCAUUGGGAAGAGAAGAAUAAAAUUCUAUACACAUUAAAUACACAUUAGUGUAAGUUGAUUCCACAUGGCAUGAAAUGAGUGGGAAAUGCAAGUGAGAAAAGACAAAUAAAGAAGGUAGCUAGCAGUCUUUUUAGUUUGAUAUGAGAGAUUAAGGUGUAUUAAUUAAGCAAGUUAAUAAGAGUAAUACAACUCGAAGAUGUCUAAAUUUCAGAUUUAUUUCUUGAUUUUAUAAAUUCGUAUAUUUUUUGUCAUCUGUGUGUGAUACUCCCUCGUCUAACAAUUGUCCACUAAAAUGUUUGAAAUCUUGAAAGGAAUGUGAAUGAUUACCCAUUGUCAGUGAUUUGAAGAUGGUGGCCAGACAAAUUUGCAGCUUCUGUGAGAGCCUUUCUCCACUGCUUUACCCUUUCUCGUUUAGCUUCACAUUUCUUGCCAUCUUUUUCUUCACCGAUGCCCUCUUCGUGCUUCUGAAAUGCUUCGGCUAAAUCUCCGUCCUGCUUCCUGACAUGUGAAGGAUCAACAUGAUAGAAUAUUGGCAAAACAUGUCGCCCCAGUUUGGAUCUGCACUCCAUGAUCUUCACCAGCUCGUCAAGACACCAACUUGAAUCCGCAUAUCUCUUUGAGAAGACAAUGAUGGAGAUCCUCGACCAUUCAAUUGUCCGGAACAGUUCCUCUUUUAUUUCUUCCCCUCUUUUUAGAUCGUCCUCAUCGAUAUAAGCCUGGUAUCCCCUGUCUUUUAAUGCCGCGUGGAGAUGGCCCGUGAAGCCCUUGCGCGUGUCUUCGCCUCUGAAGCUCAAGAACACGUCGUAAUUCCAAAGUUUUGACUUGGAGGAGGAAGAAGAAGACGCUUCGUGGGCUGUCAUGGCACCGUUAUGGCACUUCAGUAGUUCAGGUCACAAAAAGCUGGCCAGAGUAAACUCGCCGGAAACUGGGUUUUGGCCCUUUUUCUACACAUUUUCAAUCGUCAUAACUUCCUUAUUUCUCAACCAAAUUGAGUAAUUCAAGAAUGAAAAUCUUACCUCGAAACGAGACAAAAGGACUUGUACCCUUGGUUUGGCCGGAAAAUGGCCGGAAAGUUGUGGACUAUCUGAGCUUCGAUCCCGACGAUCGGGAAGGAAGUUCAAAGUGAGGCUGGGUGCUCUGAGCUCGUGAGGACAAGACGAAGCUCGUGGUGUCCUUGGUUUGGGCGGCCAGGAAGGCUGUGCACCGUUAGCACACAGUGUUCUGCACAGCGAGAGCGACAGAGAGAGAGUGCGUGAGGUAGGAGAGAGAGGUCUGCGUGGAAAGUGAGAAAGGGAAGGAGGAGGAACGUGGCCUGAGCAAGUAAAUGAAUGAUCAGGAGACAAAGAAAUUGUUGGAUGCCACAAUUGUCUUUGAGAGCGUCGGAACUCUUUGUCGGUUUAAAAAGGGGAAGAGAGGAUAAAAGGACAAAGACUAUAUUAUAACAAUGACUUCUUGGUCAUGAUUAGCUAUUCACCUAGUCAACAAUGAAUAUGUAUAAUUAUAAAACAUGAUAUGAUUAUAUAUGCAAGUAACGACCCCAAAGCUUAUUGGUGCUAAAUAACUAAUGUAAUAAAAUUAUCUUAUUACACAUUGGAUUCCUUAACAAGUGGACUUUUUUUUUUCAGUUUAGAAGUCUAGUAGUGAUUAUUUCUUAAGAUUUUUUUUUGGAAACGUUAUUAGUACUUUAAAAUUUUCAUUAUACACUCCUUAUAAUUGUAUUUUUUUUCCUAAUAUAGAAAGUUUGGAGUGUAGAAUGAAAUUUUUGAAGUGCUAAUACCAAUUUCCUUUUAUUUUUCACCAAUUUUAAUAUUUAAUCUAUAUUCCACUCAUCAUUCGUUAAUAAUUUGUGGAUUGGCAAGUUUGCUGUAGGAUGGAUUGAGGGGAGGCUUCUUUCAGAUAGUCUGUAUGAAAUAUUGGAGAGAUAAAUUGUGGAAUAAAAAAUAAUUUCAAAAUUUCUGGAACUAACACGUGGUUUUUAUUCAUAAUUGGCUAGAAUGACCUUAUUAAUUUAGCUAGGUCCACCUGUUCCACGUGCAGUUCAAUUACCACUAAUGUAGUAUUAAGUUUAAUUUUCUCCCUUAGUCGUGGGGAAGUGGUCGAGAGGAGAUCGAAGUUUUUACCCUUAGAUUUGUUCACUGAUUAUUUCUAGCGGUGCAUACACAGUUGUAGAUGGGGCAGGUGUAGGGUGGCACGAUAAAACUUGAAUCAUUUGAAUCGAGGAAAAACCAUAUUUCUGUUAAGUUUUGUUUGUAUCAACUAUCACACAAAAAACACAUUUAGUUAACUUUUUUUUUUAAUAAAUGUUCUACAUUUAUUUACUUUGCAAUUGUUAGUGUUUGUAGGUUUUAGAAUUGAACUAGCGAGGGUGUACGUGCGACGCUACGGGUUGUAAAAUUGUAUAAAUAUGUAGAAAGUUCUAAAUAUGUGUACAAUCAUUAUAUUAAUGCUUAUGCGUUUGAAAAUUGAGAAAGGUCGCCUAGAACUGCUAAGGUGCCCACCUAAAUCGUCUAGACACCCGCCAAGACCCGCCUAGAUUGCGACUCACUUAGACAGAAAAUAGAUAACUUUCAUUUUUGAUUUUAUUUUUUUAAUAAAUUGUAAGAAACUUGUUAAAUAUUUAAAUAAGCACACAUUAUAUGCUUGUUCCUCAUUCAUUAUGUUCAGAUACUUCAUAAUAUAUAUGUCAUUUGAUUUUGUAGUUUAUGAUAAAAUUAUAUAUAUUUUAAAGUAUAAACAAACACUUACUUACACGAAAUAUAACGGAUUUAGUUAAAUCCGCCUAUGCACCCGCCUAGACUCUGCCUAGCUAACUAGGCGCUAGGGCUCAGUCCGCCGUCUGACUAGCGGCUAAAAUCUUUUAAAACCUUGUGUACGAUAGACAAUACUAUUUACAUACAUGUUUAAAUCUAUUUACAAUCCUAUUUACAAUAAAAUAAAAUAAAGCAAUCUUUAUAAAACAAAUUGGUUAACCAAUCAACUUUCGAAAAGUUUGUCUCAUUACAAAAGCAUGUGAUCUAAAAGAUCCUUCAGUCAACAAAAACAAAAAGUUUAUAAUAUAAUAACGUUUGCAUAUGGACACGAGAAAUAACAUACAGCCGGGCGGGAAGGUGCAAGGAAAGGAGAGAGGAUCCGGAGAUUUUCAAAUUACAUACGUGCAGUCAGAAAUCAUUGUAAUUUUUUAAUUUAAAACUAAAUAUAAACAGUACUUGAUGAAAACUAACCGUACGAUACAUGAUGAAUGGAUGAGAUUGGAGAAUCUUCGGAAUCAUCAUAAAGAGGAUCUGGCAAGGAUCCUCUAGGCAAGGAAAGUGAUUACUAUCAAUUAUAGAUUAUUUUAGGUUGAAAUUUGGAAGCAUUUGAGAAGUAGCUUGACAACAACCACAUAAUAAACAAAAGUGAUUAAAUAAUAAACCCAAAUGUAAAAGGAUAAUUAACAAUUAUUCUAUAAAAUAGACCAAUUCUAACUAAUAUAGAUACAUUUUGUAAUAAAACUCUACACCUGAGCAGUUGGUAAUUAAUAGUCUGAUUUGUUUUAUCCGUGGGCUGACUUGGAGGGUAGAAACAAUUAAUAGCCUGAUUUGUUUUUAAAUUUUGAAUUUAUGUAUUUACAAAGGUGUGAAUUUAUGGUGGCCAUGAACACUUUCAUGGAAGUAAUUCCAUUUUUUGUACUAAUUUCCAGAAUUUUUUUAGGGGAAUUAUUUGUUUGUCUUAGCUAACAGAGUAAAUCUGGGUUCUGUACACAACAACAUAUCGAAAGAAAAAAAGUAUAUAUAACGAUGAUUUGUGUGCUGUUGUUUAAUUGUGGAUUACAUCAUAUUGAUAAAUGUUAUAUAGUUUAUGAAUAAAUGUGAUUCGUUACGAAUGUUUAUGAAAAGCGAAGACAUAAACACUAAUUGAAAUAGUAAACCAAGUUAUCAUUGUAAAUGGUACUAAAUGACUGACUAUAUCGUCCGAUUGUUGUUUACGUGCUUUAAUUUUUCAUCAUCGGAAACCGUUUUUCGGAGUUUCUUUUUCAAAAACAUGCUCUUUUAGUGAAUUGAAGAAUAUAAACGUUUUGAAUCGUUAACAUCAUGUUCCAACUUUCAAGGUUAGUGCAAAUAUUGCUCAAUGUUCAAUAAAGUCAAUCAUUGAAAAACAAAUUUUCAAAAUUUAAACCUAUUAAAUAAUAAUAAAUAAAAUAAGACAGAUAACACUCGUAAAACAAAUUCUCUCGAUGAAAGAACUCAAGACAAACCUAGUCAGCAGGCCAAAAGAAACAGUUACUCGUAUGCUAGUAACAUGUCAAGGCAAGUCAAGUGUAUAUAGAUAGAUAGAUAGAUAGAUAUAUAUAUAUAUAUCUGGUCAAGUUGGUGGAGGAAGUUUGUAACUGGAUCGAGAAUCUGCAAAACUACAGCAAGCUGCCGGAGUGAGGCUUCUCGCGGACAGUCUCUAUGCAAUCUUAGAAUUUUGGAAGUUUGCUACCGUUACCUACGACCAUCCUGCAGUUGCUCUUUGUCAUAUUUUAAGGGAACAGCGUCUAAGUUAUUCCGGUGCUGCAUUAGCCUGACAAAACGUCGACGGGCAAAAUAGAGGGGGCUUCGUGGGUUGUCAUGGCGGUAUCUACUGUUAUGGCACUGAGUGGUUCAGAAGACAAUUGAAAAAAUGGCGGUGGUUGUGUGACCUAAACACAAGUUUUUUACCACAGUGAUGGAAAUAUGUUAUGUCAUUACAUGACGGCGUGUGUUUGAAUUUGAUGGUUAAUCUACCAUCUAACAUACUAACGUUAUCACUCGACUAAAAAAAAACACUUGUCAAACUCCUUCAAUCAACAAAAGCGAAAGUUUAUAAUAUAAUAAUGUUGGCAUAUGAACUUGAGAAACGACAUAGUACCUGAUGAGAAGGUGCAAGAAAAGAUAGAAGAAAAAAAAACACAUGUCAAACUCCUUCAACCAACAAAAGCUAAAGUUUAUAAUAUAAUAAUAUUGACAUAUGAACUUGAGAAACGACAUAGGGCCUGAUGAGAAGAUGGAAGAAAAUAUAGAAGAAGAGAGGAAAGAAAGGAACGCGAAAGGAUAGACUAUUAAAAUGAUGCUACAACCCGUGAAGAAGAAUUUAAAAUGACGCGGGAGUGGAAGCAUUUGAGACAAAAGUUUUCCAUACUCCACAGAGCCAAAAGUGGUCGCGUAACCUACCGACACUUAAUAAGGCGGUGGAAAAGCAGGAGCUGCAUUUUAAAGAAAAAAUUCAAGGACGUUUCCAUUUGGAAACCACGAUGCCACUCGUGGCCGCACGAUCUGAUCACUGGACGGCUAAGAUUGAAGAUUCGCAAAAAAUUCGUUUCUGAAUACGACAAGAUAAUCGGCAACUUCUUGUGGUGGGUAUAUAAUAUAUGUGGGAAUUCUGAAAGAUGCUUUAUUCACGUGGUUUUCCACUUAUUCGAUUAAGCCUCAUAUUGGUUCCACAAUUAAUAACAAUUAAAGGUAACAUUUUCUCUCUCUUCCUCAACCUCUCUAUUCCUCGUGAUGAACGCAAAGUCUGUAAAAAUUUCAAACCAUUUCUCACUUUCAAAUUUGGGAGAGAGAAAGGGACAUGCACUCAAAUUGUAAGUUCGCCCGAUAAAUUUUUCCGUUUCAGAAUCCAAAUCGUGGGUUUUUUCCCCUUCAGGUAUUCAAAUUUUGGCUUUGGUCGAGAAUUUUCAAGGGAUUUUUGUAACUUGGGAGCCAUUUUUUAAAGGGAACUUUCAUGAAAAGGACAUAAACUAAGUUUAUUUUAAUAAAAAAUCAUGUUAUAACUUUAUUUAAUUAAAAAGACUUAAAUUUUAAUGAAAAAUCAUUAAAUUUUAAUAAAAAGGACAAAAGAACUUUAAUUUUAAUGAAAAUGACAUAAUUAUAAUAUUAAAAAAAAUUAUAAAAAAAAAUUCUGACGCGCGGACCCAUGCAAAUCCUCACACAAACUGUUUAUGAAACUUUCUUCACUAUUUAUGAAAUUUAAGACACUGUUUAUGAAACUUUCUACACUGUUUAUGAAAUUUAACGACACUGUUUAUAAAAAUAUACACAUAUAUUCAUCUGCCUGCCAUAUAAGAAAAAACAGAGGCAAUUUGCUGAUAGUUGUUUAGGAGUAGUCCCACCACCAAUCCAAAAUUUCAAAUUUUCACCAUUAAUAAUAUCAAAUCUGCCACUAGAAGAUGAAGAAGACGGAGGAGAAAGAAAGGGAACUUAUGGUGCAGCAGCCAUGCCGGAUACAAACGCCCAGCGGAAGGAGCAAAAUUGCAAUCACAAUCUCACAACAGAUCUCACAGCGCCUCGGCAUCUUUGUUUCUCAGAUUUUUUUUUUCUAGAGAGAGAGUUGAGCUGUUGAAAUAGAAUGAGAGAGAUGAGGUUUGGUGGACGUGAAGUUGUCUGAUGGGAGUUUUGGGGGAUUUUGGUUGGGGGGUGAGGGACGCACGCUCAACGAGAUUUGGAUUUUUUUUAUGUUUUUUUAUUUUUUUAUUUUUUUAUCCUUAUCAUUAAAUAAAGUUAGUGUAUGAUUUUUCAUUAAAAUGUAAAGAUUUGAAGCCCUUUUCAUUAGUUUUCCUUUUUUUAAAUUUCAUAGUCGGAGGGCGGACUGAAAUGUAGGGGGUGAAGUUGGAGGCAAAAGUACUUUGGUGUUCUUGGAUUCAUCAAGAUGGAGGAAGAGGAAGGGGAAAGAGGAAGGGUGAGAGAGAGAGAGAGAGAAAAUUAAAUUGCCUUUAAUGUUAUUUUUUCAGUUAAAUUAACAAUGGGAAAAUGAUACUCGCGGUCGUUGGGGAGUAGUAUUCUUUUUCUUUCUAUUCUCGUCCUUUUCUAUUCUCUCAUUUCGCACAUUAUUUUUUGUUUUAUUGUCUCUUUAAAAAAAUAUAUAUAAAAUGUUGACAUAGCUGAACUGUGACGGUUCAAAUAGUAGGGGAAAGAAGGGAAAAGAGAUUAGGAGGGGAGAGAAUCAUUCUCCCGUCGCAGGAUCCUUUUCCUAGAGAUUCUAGGGAUCCCGUAAUCAUGUUCGUACAUCGUACGAUCAGUUUUCGUUAGAUACUAUUUAUAUUUGAAUUUUAAAUUUUAAAUGAUUUGUGACCACAUGAUGUACAAUGAACAAACAUGAUUACGAAAUUCCUAGGAUCUCUAAAGAAAUGAUUCGGCAAUGAUCCUUUUCCUUAACAAUGAGAAUGAGGCACAACUCACCAUUAAUUAUGAAGGCUCAGUUACACAUGGAGUUGAAUAGGGUUGAGUCUGGCGGAAGUGAGUCCUGCUAAGCAUUUGUCUUUCAAGAAUACGAGGGCAUAAACAAUUAAGAUCUACCUCCUCCUAUUUCAUCUGCAAUGUCAACCGGCUAAAUUGAUCAGCGAAUCGUUCAAUAUCUCUUUCUACGAAAGAUAAUCGCCUUCGCGUCCAUGAGAUUUGGUAGUACUUAGGUAAAUGUUAUCAAGGUGUGUAAGGGCUGAUUUAGAAUUGUUGUGCUUUGAAAAAAAAACUGCUUCUGCUGUGUUGCGAGAAUAAAUCGCUGUGAAAUAAAGCAGUUGAGUAUUUGGUAAACUUUUUUGUAAAAGUGCUUUUAGCAAAAAAAAAAAAAAGUGUUAAAGUGUUUGGUAAAUUUUUAUGUAAAACCGUUGUAACUGUGUAAAAUGACUAAAAAAAGAUAUGAUGUUGAAUAUUAUAUAAUAAUUUUUUUAUCUUUUCUUUUAAGAAAGUGUUAUUAACAUUUCAAAAAUCUUAUUCUACAUUUCUCACAAAUAUUUUUUUUUUCCAAAUAUAUAAAGUUUGGAAUGUAGAAUGAGAUUUUUAGAGUGCCAAUAAUAUUUCCCUUCUUUUAUUAUGACAUUUAUAUACGAAGAGUGUACUUUUACCCUUUUUUUUAUUAAGAUAUUUAUAAAAAAUUUUUAUCUUAUUCUUUUCUCCAAAAGUGUUUCUUCUUUAUGUUGUCCCUAUUGCUCACCAGAACUCUUCUCUUCUUCCUCCACUCCUUCUCCACCCUCAUCCGCCUUCAAAUCCACCUUCUGCAACUCACCAGCUACAUCCUCCUCCGCCUUCAAAUCCUUACCAACUUCAUCCUCCUUCUUCAAAUCCACAUUCUGCCACUCACCAGCUCCAUCCUCCUCUACCUUCUAUAUUGAAUCUAGCUUUUGCACCUCAUCGGGCUCUCCAUCGUCCUCCCCUUCUCUUUCAAAUCCAGUUUAUGAAGCUUGUCGAGGACCACAUGAUCAAGAUCAGACGGUGCAGGAUUGAAAUUGGGAGAAGAAGGCAAAAACCCUAGGUUGGAAUGAGCGUGGUUGGUGCUGGGCGUUUCGGGAUCUGGGGGAACAAGAGAGAUAGCUUCAGAGAUUGCUAUUCUCCCUCUUGCGAAAUCGGUUUGCGUAGAAGCUGGGCAAGGAAAAAAAGUCGAUUUUUCAAAGCUGGGUUUUGCAGCUUUGUGUUUUUGGCUUUUUUUUCAUCCAAACUUUGAAAAAGAAAAAGCUGAAGUUAAAUGUUUACCAAACACAAAAAAACUCCCAACUUUUUUUUUAUACCCAUUUUUUUCAAAAGCAUCUCAGUACCAAACCAGGCUAAAACAACAUGCUUGGUAUAAUUUAUAACAAUAAUCACAAGAAGACUUUCAGGUUGUUUACUUGACGAAUGAAUGCAUCAGACAACCAACCUUUUAAAAUUAUGACCAUUACUUUUAGACAUAACAAAGUCGGCUACAUUUUCCUCAUAAGCAAACUCAAACAACUCAGGAAUACCAUAAAUCCAAUUGAGAUCAAUGCCACCAUAUCCACAAGAAGUCCAUCCUUCUACAUGUUGAAGAGUGUAAGGAUCUCACAUAAAAUUUGACAAAAUUAGAGAUAACUUAUAUUGUGCGGUUUCCGCUUCUAAUUAUAUCAAAGUAUUUUGUGAUAAAAUUUUCACAUAUGAAGUGUUGUGCAUGUGAUAAAAUUUAAAUUGAUAGAAAUUAUUAAUGUGGUUAAUGGUGAGUCCUUAUAAAGCAUGUGAUAAAAUUUUCAGUUUUCAAAAUUGUUUGUAAAACGUUCUUAGAUGAGCCCUUAACGUAUGUUAGCCACCAUUAGUUAGUAAACGUUACCAUACCAACAAGCCACCAAAGUCUAUGUGCUAUAUUAUAAAUAAAACUGGUUUCUAUGAAAAAACACUUUACAAAACGGAUAAGCACUUCACAAACCACUUUUGUUUUCUAGAAGCCAUUUUUGUUCAUAAGCACUUUACUAGGAGUACGUCAAAAUUUUUGGAUUUUUUUUUCACAAAUGAUCAUUGAGAUUGAUCAAACUUAUCAUUUUGAUACCUCACUUUUAAAAUCAAUCAAUGUCAUCCCUGACAUUCACUACCGCACAUCAAUUUGGUCAUUCGGUUAAGAUUUCGUUAACUAUUAUGUUAGUUUGUAUGUGGUGUUGGAAAAAUAAGGUCUAAUUGCUAUAUUAAAUCACAUAGAAAAUCAAGAAAUAAUUCAUGCAAUUAUAUAUCAAAGUAAUGCAUGCACAUGAGUAACUAAUGUUAAAUGAAAAUGACAUAAUGGACUAGAAAAACUUGGAAAUACGGUCUAGAUAAGUGUUUGACACUUUAUCCUUAAGACAAGUUUACGUCCCACUACGGUGCUAAUGGUUGAUUAGCGAUUUUCUCCCAAGAUACAAAGACCAUGUCCUUGUAAUAGUAGCACUACAAAUCACAAGGGUCCAUGAACCACGAUAGUGUUGAAAACCUUCAUAUGAACUCACUGGGACUCUCUAAUAUUUAGUGCACUUUAUGUAUGAUUAUAUAAAAUAAUGAAAAGUUAUUUAUGUUUAUAGGGGACUUUCCUAAUUAUAGAAUUUGAGAUACCUCUUUGGAAAACAUGUAAUGAUUCAUGAAGAGUCAGAAUCUACAACUCUUUAUUAGGAUAGACACAUAUUUCUACCAAAAGGCAUCACUUUCUAAUUUCCAUUCAAUUAAUUAAUGUAACAUAAUAAAAAUAAUAUUGAAUUUUCCAACAUGUGGGACCCACAAAUCCAACGAAAUGAUAACACGUGGAUUACUCAAAAUAAGGGAUUUUAUCGCAAAUGGUCAUUGACAUUGAUCCAACUCCUUAUUUUGGUUCCUGAGUUUCAAAAAUCAAUAAAUUUGAUCUCUAACUUUCACUACCGCACGUCAAUUAAUUUCAUCAUUCCGUUCAAGUUUUAUCAAUAUUUUUUGUCCCAGUAAUCCAAUCAUAUGGCACCAUGUAGAUUCAAUUUUUUUUAAAGAUUUAAAACCAAAAGUAAAAUAAGAAACAAAAAACAAAAACUAAAAGAAAAAAGUCAUCGUCGUCUUCAUCAGGGUAUGCUAAAAAAGAAAAAGCACAAUGACACCAUUAAAGUACUUAGUCUCCUGAAUUCACUCAUUAUCCUUUCUAGUUGAUCAUAAUCCUAUCAAAUUUGAAUUCAAUUUUAGAUUGAAUUUUUUUCCAAUUGGGGUCGUGAGAUGUGAGAAAAAUGUCAGUGCGGAAUAUUCGUCUGUUGGCUCACUCUUAAGAAAAUAGUAUCUUAUAGUUCAUUAACGUGGAGCCAUAUGAUUGAAUUAGUGAGACCACAUCAACAUACAAACGAAAAAUAUUGAUGAAAUUUUGACGAAAGAACUACAUUGAUGUGCAGUGGUGAAAUUCAAGAACCAAAUUUAUCAGUUUUUGAAACUCAGAGACCAGAAUGAGGAGUUGGAUCAAUAUCAGAGACCAUUUGCGAUAAAAACCCUUAUUUUGUGUAAUCCACAUGUCACUAUUUCAUUGGAUUUGUGGGUCUCACGUACAAACUAACAGAAUAGUAAAUGAAAUCUUAACGGAAUGACUAAAUUGAUGUGGGUAGUGAAUGUCAUGAUUGACAUUAACUGAUUUUUGAAAAUGAGAAACCAAAAUGAUGAGUUGAAUCAAACUUAGACACCAUUUAUUAUAAAAACUCUAAAACACCUCCAAGUCUGUAACCCCACCUUUCAAUUCAACCUUUGCGCCACCGAUUCACCUUCAUCAACCUCCGUAAUGGCAUCCAUCGCUUGCUAGGGCUCUCGAGAGCACAUUGCACCACUACCUCACCAACCUAAUCAAAUCCAUAGUUAUGGCUAUUCGAAUCCAACCAGAAGUCCAAUCUCGACUCCUCCGUCCCCGUCCGCAAUUACCAGACCCAGUUCUCCCGCUCAAAGUCUUCGUCGGUCGCCGUUAGGCCCUUGUCGUCUUUGUUCAUGGCCCUUGCCGAGGAGAUUCUAGGCGAGAGCUGCGAAAGCCCGAUCGUGCUGGGGUUGGAUGGGCGUACAUGAGAGAAAUGAGGGAGGGUUGGGUGGAAGCGGGGGUGAGCCGGUGAGGUUAGAGAGUAGAGCGGGGGUCAGGUUAGAGGGAACGGCCCAGAUUGUGUAAUUAACCCUUUUCUUAAUUUUUUUAAUUUUUUAAUUUUUAAUUUUUUAUAUUUUAGGAAGAAUAACAGAUGAAUAAAAGAAUAAAGAAAACUAAUGAAAAGAACUUGAAAAAUUUGAGUUUUAACGAUAAGGACAAAAUAAAGGGUAAAGUGAAUAGUAACAUGAUUGACUUUUUAGUAUACAAAUAUGAUUUUUCGUUAAAAUGAACAAUAUCGAGAGUUUUUCGUUAAAGUUCUCUAAAAAAUAUUACAGCUUGGUGCUUUUUUUUGUAUUAUUAAGUUUAGUUUUAUGUCAUUUAGUUGUGGGGAAAGGAAAAGGAUACUCGCCGAAUCGUUUUUUAGGGAUCCUAGAGAUCUCGCAAUCGUAUCCGUUCAUCGUAUAUUGUGUGUGUUCAGUUUUCAUUAGGUAUUAUUAAUAUUUGAAUUUUAAAUGAUUUCUGACCAUACGAUAUACGAUGAACGAACAAUAUUACGGGAUUCCUAGAAGAAGGAUCCAUCGAGGAUCCUUUUCCGUGGGGAAGGGGUGGAUAUAUAGCUAUAUACGGGGCAGGUGUAAGGUGGCAAAAUAAAACUUGAAUCAUUUGAAUGAUGGGAAAGCCAAAUUUAUGCUAAGUUUUGUCUGUAUCAACGAUCACACAGUAAACACGUUUAGUUAACUUAUUUAUUUAUUUUAUUAUAAAUGUCUUACAUUUUUUUACUUUGUAAUUGUGAGUGUUUGUAGGUUUUAGAUUAAACUAGACAGGGUACCUGCGCUAUAUGGCGAGUUGUAAAAUUACAAACAUGUAGAAAAUUUUAACUAUAUGUACAAUAGACAAUACUAUUUAAGUACAUGUGAAAAUUUAUUUACGACUCACAAUAAAAGGCCAAAAUAAGUGUCUAGGGGUAAUGAACUGCUUAUUGUAAAAAGUAUUUUAGCAACCUUCGUACAACAAAUUAGUUAACCGAUCAACUUUUCAAAAAAUAGUCUCGGUACAAAAGCAUGGCCUAAUAUGUAAGGAAAUCUUGUAAUCCAUAUUUCAAUUGAUAUCUUUUAAAUGUCAAGGUACCAUUGUGUGUUCAAAUGUUUAGUAAUCAAUCUGCUAAAAUAAAAUAAACCUCCAGAGUUUAUAGUAGUGACUAAACAUUUUAUUUUGUCUGCUUGCGUCGCUUUUAAUUCGGAUCGAAGGUGUGAGAGAGUUGGUAGGAUAAGGGUGAACAAAAUUGACUAUUAUUUAAAGUUGAAUUUCUUCACUGCCGGCCCGGAAGGUGAAGUGAAAGAAAGAGAAAAAAAAUAGGAAAGAAAUGAACACAAAAUAACAAAGACUAUCCAAAAGGUUAUAACAAUGACUUUUUGGGUUAAUUAAAACUAUUUAACUAUUAAUAAUGUAUUAUUUUAGGUUGAAAUUCGGAAACAUUUGAGAGGUAGCAUGACAACAACCACCUAAUAAAUAAAAGUGGUUAGAGUAUAGACCCAAAGGUGAAAGGGUAACUAAAAACAAUUAUUUCAAGAUGGACAGUGAUGAAUCGAUAUUAUUUUACAUUUUUAUACUAAUCUUAGUUAUAAUUUAUUACUUAUUUUUGGAGGAUUUUGAUACUUUGUUUUAUAUUUCAAUUAGAACAUGUGAAUCUACUUUGGGCAAAAAGCGAUGAAAUAAUUUUUUUUGAAGUUAUUCCAAUUGGAGUGGAUUCGUGAGUAUUUGAAGAUGAUUUUGUAAGGUGGGGUGUUGGUUGAGUGUAAUGAAUUAAUUGUCCUAGAUUUUGUGAUAAAUUAAUUGGAAUGGAUCCAUGAGUCUUUGCCCAUGCCAAGAGAGUUAGGUGUCAGGCUAAAUGUGGCCUGAGCAAGUAGAUGAAUAAUCGGGAGACAAAGAAAUUGUUGGAUGCCACAAUUCUCCAUUAGAGUGUUGGAACUCUUUGUCAGUUUACAAAUCUUUUGGAGGCCUUGAGUAGGCAUUAGGCUCUUUUAAAUGAGUUAGUAGUGUCAGACGUGUAAGUGUUAGCUCAAACCAACAUAAAGAUUGUAAAAUUGUAAACAUACGCCACAAGUAAAUUGAGCUUCUUAAUUAAAGGAUUGUGCCAUAAAAAGGUUAAAUCUAUGUUAAGUUCUUUUACGUGUCUUGUUGUUAAGGACUUAUAUAUGUAUGUAUGUAUGUAUGUAUUUUGUUAAUCACAAAUUGAUCGAAUCAUGGUAGUGGUUGUGUUGCAGCAAGUCAAGCUCCUUUGGUCAACAAAAAUAAAAGUUUAUAAUAUAAUAAUUUUGGCGUAUGAACUUGAGAAACAAUAUACUGCCGGCUGAGAAGGUGUAGAGAGAGAGAGAGAGAGAGAGAGAGAGAGAGAGAGAUGAAGGAAAUGAACAUGAAAGGACAAAUACUAUCCAACAUAUUAUAACAAUGACUUCUUGGCUAUGAUUACAGCUAUUCAACUAAUGCAUUAAGAAUAAAAUAUGAAAUGAUCAUAUAUGCAAGUAGUUAUUAAUUAGUUGUGAUUAAUAUCUUAGGAGUUUUUUUUCUUCAAUUGUAAUCUAUAUUCUUGUAACACUCAUCAUUUGUUAAUAAUUUGUGCUUCGACAAAUUUGUUGCAGGAUCGAUCAAAGGGAGAGGCUUCUUUCAGGUAGUAUGUACGCAAUAUUGGAGAGAGAGAUAAUGUUCAGAGAAACUGAUUUCAGAUGAAGCUAAGAAAGUAGUGAAUGACAUAGUAGUUUUAAAUGGAGGAGUCAUACAUUUGCAGUAGUUUGUUCACUUGACGAGUAAAUACAGCAGACAACUAACACUUUAAAAUUACGACCACCACUUUUAGACAUAAUAAAGUCGACUACAUUUCUCUCCUAAGUAAACUCAAACCACUCGGCAAUAUUAUAAAUCCCAUUGAAAUUGAAUGCCACCAUAUUCGCAAAAAGUCCAUCCCUAUACAUGUUGAAGAGUACAAGAAUUUCACAUCAAAUUUAUCAAAAUUAAAGAUGACUUAUGUUGUGCAUUUACCACGCUUCUGAUUAUAUCAAGGUGUUUUGUGAUAACUUUCACAUAUGAUGUUUUGUGCAUGUGGUAAAAUUCAAGUUGAAAGAAAGUAUCAAUGUGAUUAAUAGUGGGUCACUGAUCAGUCUUUACGAAUCUUGACAAUAUUUGCAUUUGUUGUGUGUGUGUGGUAAGCGACCAUACUAAUAUAAAUACCCAAGCCUCAUGUCUAUAAUAAUAUAAUCUUCACGUCCAUUUUUGUUUAUCAGAUAAUCUUCACAUCUAAAACUUGAGAAACGAUCGGGGAUGGAGAGAUGCACGAAAUUGCAGAGACAAUACAUUUUAGUAUAAUAAUCUUCACGUACAUAUAAACUAACACAGAGUCAAAGUCAUGUAGCUUCGCCAGAGCACAAUAAAACACCACCAUCCAAAAUGUGCUUGUGAAAAUGAAAUUUUUUAAGGAGACUAUAUUUUUGUACCAUUUUAGUAUACGAUCUUACGUGGUAAAUGAUGUGUACAUGCCACAUCAGUGAAUGAAUCUAUUUGAUUAGAUAUUAGUUGUAUGUAUCAGUUAUCAUGUCAGAUGGUACAAAAAUGUGAUCACCCUAGCAUUAUGUUGUGAAAAGACCAAUCAAAUGAAGAAAAAGAAGCUACUUUCGUCAUCAUAUAAUAGAAAGAACAGAAAAAAAAUAGAGUGGAGGGUUGCGUUUACCGGAUUAUAUUGUUGUUGUUUGUGUUUGUGUUUGGGGUUACAAAAUUAAUUUUUUAUUUUUCAUUUAUUUAAGGGAAAAUUUAAAAGCUUGGUAGAUAAAUUUUUCUGUUUGAGAAUUUUAACGAAAAGCUUCCGGUACUGUUCACUUUAACGAAAAACCACAUUUGUACACUAAAAAGUCAAUUAUGGUACUAUUCACUUUACAUUUUAUUUUGUCUUUAUCGUUAAAACUCAAAGUUUUCAAACUAUUUUCAUUAGUUUUCCUUUUCUAUUUAGGUAUAGAAAUAAGAAAGCUGAGUUCAAACAAAAUUUCUCAAAAAAAUUCCAAACGCGAAAGAUCUUCAUGCUACACAUGGGCCUGCCUGCCCUUGUAGGCCUUAUUUUUGGGCUAUUGGCCUCUCACUCACAAAAGUGGAACAAAUUCUCCUACGGCGCCGUUUCACGACCUAUAUGAGAUUGUACCGUACAUUUUCCCUUUUACACCAAGUCCUUGUCCAACCCGCAUUACGAUCCGAAAGUCCUCACAUCAUCUUUCAUUACAUUUCAAAACUUCUUCUUUCUUCUUGUGUAGGUGUUUUUCAUUGCUCUAUUACACAUUGGAAAAAAAUAAUAGGAGUUGUCAACGUAAAUAAGUGACAGCUUUAAUAAAAAUGAGAAAACAAAAUAUAUGUGUGGUUUAACAAUGAAAAUAAGUUUAAACCUUAAAUCGUAUACGAAUCUAAGUUAACAAACUUGUACUCAAACCAAUCAAUUCAAUCAUGCUCAAACCAAAUUGGUCUAAUAUGUAAGGAAAUCUUGUAAUCCAUAUUUCAAUAGAGAUCUUUUAAAUGACAAGGUACCAUUGUGUGUUCAAAUACUUAGUAAUCAAUUUGCUAAACUAAAAUAAACCUCCAAAGUUUAUAGUAGUGACUAAACAUUUUAUAUUGUCCGCGCUUUUAAUUGGGAUCGAAAGUGUAAGAGAGUUGGUAGUAUAAGGGUGAACAAAAUUGACUAUUAUUUAAAGUUGAAUUUCUUCACUGCCGGCCCGGAAGGUGAAGUGAAAGAGAAAGAGAGAGAAAAAAAUAGGAAAGAAAUGAACACAAAAUAAACAAAGACUAUUUAAAAGAUUAUAAUAAUGACUUCUUAUGUUGAUUACAGCUAUUCAACUAUCAAUAAUGCAUUAUUUUAGGUUGAAAUUCGGAAGCAUUUGAGAAGUAGCAUGACAACAAUCACAUAAUAAACAAAAGUGGUUACAGAAAAGACCCAAAUGUGAAAGGGUAACUAAAAACAAUUAUUCAAGAUGGACGGUGAUGAAUCAAUAUUAUUUUACAUUUUUAUACUAAUCUUAAUUAUAAUUUAUUAGUUAUUUUGGGAGGAUUUUGAUACUUUAUUUUAUAUUUCAAUUGUAGAACAUGUGAAUCUACUUUGGGCAAAAAGCGAUGAAAUAAAAGAAUUUUAAAGUAAUUCCAAUUGGAGUGGAUUCGUAAGUCUUUAAAGAUGAUUGUGUCAAGUGAGGUGUUGGUUGAGUGUAAUGAAUUAAUUGUCCUAGAUUUUGUGAUAAAUUAAUUGGAGUGGAUCUGUGAGUCUUUGCCCAUGCCAAGAGAGUUAGGUGUCAGGGUGAAUGUGGCCUGAGCAAGUAGAUGAAUAAUCGGGAGACAAAGAAAUUGUUGGAUGCCACAAUUCUCCAUUAGAGUGUUGGCACUCUUUGUCAGUUUAAAAAUCUUUUGGAGAUAUUGAGUAGGCAUUAGGUUCUUUUAAAUGAGUUAGUUGUUAGUGUCAGACGUGUCGCUGUUAACUCAGACCAACAGAAAGAUUGUAAGAUUGUAAACAUACGCCAUAAGCUUCUUAAUUAAAGGAUUGUACCAUAAAAAGGUUAAAUAUGGACUCUUAUAUAUAUAUGUAUGUAUGUAUGUAUGUAUGUAUGUAUGUAUGUAUUUUGUUAAUCACAAAUUGAUCGAAUCAUGGUAGUGGUUGUGUUGCAGCAAGUCAAGCUCCUUUGGUCAACAAAAAUAAAAGUUUAUAAUAUAAUAAUUUUGGCGUAUGAACUUGAGAAACAACAUACUGUCGUCCGGGAAGGUGUAGUGAAAGAGAGAGAGAGAGAGAGAGAGAGAUAUAUAUAUAUGAAGGAAAUGAACAUGAAAGGACAAAUACCAUCCAACAUAUUAUAACAAUGACUUAUUGGCUAUAAUUACAACUAUUCAACUAAUCAAUAAUGCAUUAAGAAUAAAAUAUGAUAUGAUUAUAUAUGCAAGUAGUAAUUAAUUAGUUGUGAUUAAUAUCUUAAGAGUUUUUUUUCUUCAAUUGUAAUCUAUAUUCUUGUAACACUCAUCAUUUGUUAAUAAUUUGUGCUUUGGCAAAUUUGAGGCUUCUUUCAGGUAGUAUGUACGGAAUAUUGGAGAGAGAGAUAAUGUUCAGAGAAACUGGUUUCAGAUGAAGCUAAGAAAGUAGUGAAUGACGUAGUAGUUUUAAAUGGAGGAGUCAUACAUUUGCAGUAGUUUGUUCACUUGACGAGUAAAUACAGCAGACAACUGUUUGUAAGACGUUACCAGGUGAGCCCUUAACUUAUGUUAGCAAUCAUUAGUUAGUAAACAUUACUAUACCAACAAGCUACCAAAGUCUAUGUGCUAUAUUAUUAUAUAUAAAACUGGGUUCUAAUGAAAAAGCACUUUUCUAAAAGCACUUUAGAAACCACUUAUGUUUGUCACUUUUGUUCUCUGUAAGCCAUAAUGAAAAAUGAAAUUGAAAUUAAUAUUCAAAAAGGAAAUAAAAAAACAAAUAGAAGCAGAACAUCAUAACGUGUAAUUAAUCGUACCUUGGAACCCUCCCAAACCUCAGAGCCGCACAAGGUUUAUGUGCAUUUUCCCUCCAACCCAUCUUGCUGAACGUUAAACCAAAUUAAAAAUAAUAGAGGCUUUUAACCGUUAGAGAAAAAACAGAUAUUUAACAAGAAAAAAAAAAUGAAAUUGUACUUGUUCAAUUUUCGCCAGAGCACAAUAAAACACCACCAUCCAAAAUGUGCUUGUGAAAAAUGAAAAAUGUUAAGGAGAUUAUAUUUUUGUACCAUUUUAGUAUACGAUCUUAUGUGGCAAAUGAUGUGUACAUGUCACAUCAGUGAAUGAAUCUAUUUGAUUAGAUAUUAGUUGUAUGUAUCAGUUAUCAUGUCAGAUGGUACAAAAAUGUGAUCACCCUAGCAUUACGUUGUGAAAAGACCAAUCAAAUGAAGAAAAAGAAGCUACUUUCGUCAUCAUAUAAUGGAAAGAAUAGAAAAAAAAAUGUGGAGGGUUGCGUUUACCGGAUUAUAUUGUUGCUGUUUGUGUUUGUGUUUGGGGUUACAAAAUUAAUUUUUUAUUUUUCAUUUAUUUAAGGGCAAAUUUAAAAGCUUGGUAGAUAAAUUUUUCUGUUUGGGAACUUUAACGAAAAUCUUCUGGUACUGUUUACUUUAACGAAAAAUCACAUUUUUACACUAAAAAGUCAAUCCUGGUACUAUUUACUUUACCUUUUAUUUUGUCUUUAUCGUUAAAACUCAAAGUUUUCAAACAUUUUUCAUUAGUUUUUUUUUUUUUUCUGUUUAGGUAUAGAAAUAAGAAAGCUGAGUUCAAACAAAAUUUCUCAAAAAAUUUCCAAACGCGAAAGAUCUUCAUGCUACACAUGGGCCUGCCCUUGUAGGCCUUAUUUUUGGGCUAUUGGCCUCUCACUCACAAAAGUGGAACAAAUUCUUCUACGGCGCCGUUUCACGACCUGUAUGAGAUUGUACCGUACAUUUGCCCUUUUACACCAAGUCCUUGUCCGACCCGCAUUACGCUCCGAAAGUCCUCACAUCAUCUUUCAUUACAUUUCAAAACUUCUUCUUUCUUCUUGUGUAGGUGUUUUUCAUUGCUCUAUUACACAUUGGAAAAAAAUAAUAGGAUUUGUCAACGUAAUUAAGUGACAGCUUUAAUAAAAAUGAGAAAACAAAAUAUAUGUGUGGUUUAACAAUGAAAAUAAGUUUAAACCUUAAAUCGUAUACGAAUCCAAGUUAACAAACCUGUACUCAAACCAAUCAAUUCAAUUAUGCUCAAACCAAAUUGGUCUAAUAUGUAAAGAAAUCUGGUAAUCAUAUUUCAAUCGAGAUCUUUUAAAUGACAAGGUACCAUUGUGUGUUCAAAUACUUAGUAAUCAAUCUGCUAAACUAAAAUAAACCUCCAAAGUUUAUAGUAGUGACUAAACAUUUUAUAUUGUCUGCUUGCGUUCGCUUUUAAUUCGGAUCGAAAGUGUGAGAGAGUUGGUAGGAUAAGGGUGAACAAAAUUGACUAUUAUUUAAAGUUGAAUUUCUUCACUGCCGGCCCGGAAGGUGAAGUGAAAGAGAAAGAGAGAGAAAAAAAUAGUAAAGAAAUGAACACGAAGUAAACAAAGACUAUUCAAAAGAUUAUAAUAAUGACUUCUUAGGUUGAUUACAACUAUUCAGCUAUCAAUAAUGCAUUAUUUUAUGUUGAAAUUCAGAAGCAUUUGAGAAGUAGCAUGACAACAAUCACAUCAUAUACAAAAGUGGUUAGUAUAAUUUUACAUCUAUGAUUCGAAAGCGUUUCCCCCAAUCUAGUGUUUUUUUUUUUCUUUAGAUGAAUCUGUUGCCACAACCCAUGAGGAAGAAUAUUAGCUGAGCGAGCAACUUUUGUUUUUAACACUGUUUUGAAAAUGUUUUGGAGCAACAUUGUUGAACUGAAGCGCAGAGUCUUUUAACGAAAGAAAAGACCAAAGCAUCCCAAUUUUUUUAAGGGAGUUUUAACGAAACACUAUCGGUACUAUUCAUUUUUAACGAAAAAUCAUAUUUUUACCUUUUCAUGGUACCAUUCACUAUACCUUUAUUUGUCAUUUUUUUUAUUAAAACUAAAGUUUUUUGGACUUUUCGUUAGUUUUUUUUUUUAAUGGCUCCAUAGUUGCCAAAUUUCUUUUAUUACAACAAUUCUGAUAGAGAAUCAAUUUUCGGGGCAAUGGGCAAAAUUGUGGUUUAGUUAAGCAUCUGUGGAGUUCUAACGUUCAUUAAAUCUUCAAUAAUUCAAAUACUGUAUAAUUUUUAUUUUUUUUAUUUUUUAUCAAAACUUCUUUUUUUCACUUUUUGGUUUAUGCUUCUUUAAUCAAUGUGAGAUAGUUCUUCACUUUGCGGCUAAUUGUAUUGUUUUCUCUUUGAAUUUUCUUUUUUUAUUAAUUGAAAUCCUACAGAGCAUCUAAGCUAUAUUUAAUGAUUUCAUGUUUUUUUUUCUUUAACUGGAUCGUGUUUACAGAAGGACACAACACGUAGCAAAAGCGUUUUUGUAAGGGCCGAAGAAACUGAACAUGGGCUGGGGUUCGCAAUUGGUUUUCAGGUAAGGGAUGUAAUAAGCACUCAUAUCAUACGUGGGAGUUGUAGUUAAGUGUAGUUUUUUUUAUUUUUGCUUUUCAUUUUGUCAGUUUGUUCGAUUAAUGGUGAAGAAGACAUGAAUCACAUGUGUGUAAAUAUUACGUAUCGUAUAUAUACUUAAAACUUUUGACAAAUUUUAUACGGUUUUAAAACCUGCAGCAUCACAUCAUGCAAGCACCUUCGCUAGUAGAAACUAAAACAGUAAAACUGUAGAAGAAGCUUAUGAACACAUCAAUCAUAGUGAACGGGAAGUGGAGAAGAUUUCCGAGAUAUUCUAUUGAGCAAAACCAUCGUUGAUGCGCAAAUAAGGCUUUGGCUGAAUGUGAUCACCCUAGCAUUAGGUUGUGAAAAAACCAAUCAAAUGAAGAAAAAGAAGCUACUUUUGUCAUCAUAUAAUAGAAAGAAUAGAAAAAAAGAGAGGAGGGUUGCGUUUACCGGAUUAUAUUGUUGCUGUUUGUGUUUGGGGUUACAAAAUUCAUUUUUUUUUCUUUUUCAUUUAUUUAAGGGCAAAUUUAAAGGCUUAGUAGAUAAAUUUUUCUUUUUGGAAACUUUAACGAAAAGUUUCCUGUAUUGUUUACUUUAACGAAAAACCAUAUUUUUACACUAAAAAGUCAAUCCUGGUCCUAUUCACUUUACCUUUUAUUUUGUCCUUAUCGUUAAAACUCAAAGAUUGCAAACCUUUUUUAUUAGUUUUUAUUUCAUAAGUUUAGGUAUAUAAAUAAGAAAGCUGAGUUCAAACAAAAUUUCUCAAAAAAUUUCCAUCUUCAUGCUGCACAUGGGCCUGCCCUUGUAGGCCUUAUUUUUGCGCUAUCGGCCUCUCACUCACAAAAGUGGAACAAAUUCUCCUACGGCACCGUUUCACGACCUAUAUGAGAUUGUACCGUACAUUUGCCCUUUUACACCAAGUCCUUGUCUGACACACAUUACGCUCCGAAGGUCCUCUCACCUCCUCGGCCCCAAAUUCCUGCAGGUAAAUCGCACCUCUCUGUAUUCCUCGUUAAUUUCUCUUAUUUUGUGUUUGGUUGCUGAGAAAAUAGAUAAAGAGAAAGAAAAAUGUGGUCUUUUGUUUGCCUUUUUUUUAGGAAAACUAAUGAAAAAGGCUUCAAAAUUUUGAACUUUAACAAAAAACCAUCCUAUAACUUUAUUUAAGAGAGUUUUAAUGAAAAGCUCACGGUAUUGUUCACUUUAACAAAAAAUCACAUUUUUACACUAAAAAGUCAAACAUGCUACUAUUCACUUUACCUUUUAUUUUGUCCUUAUCGUUAAAACUCAAAGUUUUCAAACCAUUUUCAUUAAUUUUCUUUUUAUUUAAUGAUAAGAACAAGAGAAAAAAAAAACAAAAAAACAAAAAGACCUAACUAAGGCGCGUGCAAGGGCAUGCCACCCAAAUUCUUCACCUGCACAAACAUUUCAGAUCGAAGGCUACAAAUCUUCCUACUGGAAUUCCACGUAUUCUCCAGUGACCAUCUUUCAAAUGGUUUGAUUACUCUCUUCACCAACUUUCCCCAAACUUCUCAACCGCAAACUCUCUUUCACCAACAAUCUUAAAGUUGAGCAUUCCUUUCAAUCGAUGAAGUUGAAAGGAAUACGAGAAAGCAAAAAUUGCAAGAUUGCGAAGUAAGUGAAAAUCGAAAAGAAAAGAGAGGUCAUCUUCCCAACUCCUGCAACCAGAAACCGUCCAGAUUUUGCAAAAGCUAAAGAAUUCACAAAUCCAACCUGCACGGAACAAGAAUAUUGAGGGAAGAAAAAACUUGUUAACUUCUGAUUUACACGAGGCAAACAAGGUUUUUUAAUAAUUGAUUUGGCAUACCAAUGGGAUGUUGUGUAACGGCUGAAGCACUCUGCUCUCACUUUCAAUAGCCCAUAAUCGAACAGAGCCAUUACCAGCUCCUGAUGCAGCGAGGUCACUGCCUCUACAAACAGUGACUGAACUGAUCCAAGAAUUGGUUGAUGAACAAUCAAAGCUUUCAGAAGUGUGGUUACCAUUUUCUGCACAACAAAGUUCAAUACCAUCCCGUUAGAACACAACUAACUGGGAAAAAAAGCGUCCACAGGAUAAAACUUGAAGCCCGAAAAACUUAUGUUUUAGAUAAACUUGAAGCCCGAAAAACUUGAAGCCCGAUUAAAGUGGUUUUCCUAGAAUGAUUUCUCACAUACCCAACAACUUAUAUUAAUUCCUUAAUUGUGGCUGUCUUGGGAAUCCGCAUGUUUUCAUGGUGCGGUGGCACUCCUUUAUGUUUUGGUGUUCCUUCUAGACAAUAGUUUUCAAUUGCAUUGAUAACUAGCUGCUGCUUAUCCUUUUGAGUUAGUUUUUCAUCUUUCCUUUAGAUUGUAUUGUUCAUGCUCUUGGUGAGAGUGUUGUAACUUGUAAGCUUAUUUUCCUUGUUAGUAAAAGUUGAUUCAUCUUCAUUGAGUUCCAUUCUUUCUCUUUACUGUUGGUUUAAGUCUUGGGCUAGUGUGGAGUUUGCACUAACCGAGAAGCAAUACUCUGGAGUUUGGAAUAUUGUCUUUCUCUACAUGGUACCAGAGCUACAAGGGAGGUAGCUUCUGUUGUCAAGUUUCCUCUAGUAAAGAAAGAUUGUGAUACUCAAAGAUGGACUCAAACCGAAGCUCUGGAUUAGGUAUUGAUUUAUUGAAUCAGUCAAAUUUCAAGGUAUGGAAAUCUUGUAUGGAAUCCUAUCUCUUGGGUGAAGAUUUAUGGGAGGUUGUUGGUGGAGAUGAAACUGCCACUCCAACAAAUACACAAGAAAUUCCAGACGCUUUGAAGAAGUGGAAGGUGAGGAAUGCUAAGGCUGAAUUUGCUUUGAAGAAAUCCAUUUCUCGCGAGCUGUUUGAACACAUCACAGAUUGCAAAUCCGCAAAUGCGAUAUGGACAACUCUUGAUGGCUUAUUCAACAAAAAGAAUGAAGGAAAUUGCUGGAGAAUGAUCUAGCAAAUUUAACCCAAGGUGAUCUUUCUAUUUCUCAGUUUUUCUUGAAGGCAAAAAAUUUAUGCUCCGAAAUUUCGUCUCUUGAUACGGAAGGACCAAUGUCGGAUGCACGAGUACGAAGGCAUAUUAUCCGUGGGCUUAAACAUGAAUAUGUUCCUUUUGUUACAUCAAUACAAGGAUGGGCAAAUCAACCGUCUUUGGUAGAGCUAGAAAAUCUUCUAGCCUCUCAAGAGUCUUUGGCUAGACAAAUGGCUAGUUGCUCUGUGUUAUCUUCAAAUGGUGAUGGAAGUGCCCUGUUUACUAGAAAAAAGAAGUUUGAAAAGAAAAAAAUCUACCAGCCCCGUGAUUCCAACUACCGAAAAGACGAGAAGAAGGAAAGAUUUACCAAUGAAGAUGUGAAUAAGCAAUGCCAUCGCUGUGGGAAAAUGGGGCAUAUACGUAAAAAUUGUAAUGUGAAGAUGCAAGGGGGGAACAUGGCUAAAUUGAAAGAACCAAAGAGUGAGGAAAAUUGGGGGAAGUGCCUUGUGGCUGAAACUACCAAUAUAGAUGCUUUGGCCUCAAUCAAUUUCAAAGAAGACUGGAUUGUUGAUUCUGGUUGCAGCCAUCAUCUCACAGGCAAUGAGUCCAUGUUCUCUUCCUUCCGAAAAUAUGAAGGAAACGAUGCCAUUGUCACAGCAGAUGAUUCUGUUCACCCAGUUAAAAAGGAGGGAGUUGUUACAAUUGACAACGGCGAUGAUCGCAUUACACUGAAUAGUGUUUUUCAAGUACCGGGUAUGAAGAAAAAUCUGUUUUCGGUGGCAAAUACGGUUGAUACAGGUACAUAUGUUCUCUUUGGACCUGAAAAUGUGAAGUUCUUACGAAAUUUGAAAAGCAUAGAUGCUGAUGUUGUUCAUACUGGUAGAAGAGUUAAAGAUGUGUUUACUUUAUCAGCUACAUCUAGUUCUUAUGUUGAUAACAUGAGUAAAAAUGAUAGUCCUACACUUUGGCAUGCUAGAUUGGGGCAUUUGAGCAUGGAUAAGUUAAAGGCUAUGGUGCUGAAAAAUUUGGUUGAUGGGUUGCCAAAGAUAAACUCAUUUGCUUGUGAUAAAGUUUGUGAAGGUUGUCAAUUUGGGAAGGCACAUCGUCUUCCAUUUCACAAAUCUGAUUCAAGAAGCAAGGUUUCUUUGGAAUUGGUUCAUAGUGAUCUUAUGGGACCAACCACUACACCUUCUUACACAGGUUGUAGGUAUAUGCUACUUUUUGUAGAUGACUUUACAAGAUUUACUUGGGUAUAUUUUGUGAAGGAAAAAUCAGAGGUCUUCUCCAAGUUUCAAGAAUUCAAAGUAAAUGUUGAAGGGGUUCUUGAAAGGAAAAUCAAGUGUCUCCGCACUGAUAAUGGUGGAGAAUUUACUUCAUCAGAAUUCAUUAAAUUUUGCAUGGAGCAUGGUAUUCGUAAGCAGCUCACUUGUGCUUACACGCCGCAACAAAAUGGUGUGGCGGAAAGGAAGAUUAGGCAUUUGGUGGAGACUUGCAAGAGCUGGUUAUUUGCAAAGAAUUUGCCGAAGGCCUUAUGGGCAGAAGGUAUGGCUUGUGCAACAUAUGUGAUUAAUCGAGUUCCUCUUAGUCCAAUUGAUUUGAUGUCUCCAUAUGAGAAAUUGGCUGGUGAAAAACCAAAUGUCAAGCACUUCAAAGUUUUUGGUUCCAUUUGCUAUAAAUUUGGAAUUGAAGAAUGCUAUUCUUAUUCAAUAGAAUGCUAUUCUUAUUCAAUCUAUCCCAAAUGAAAACAACUAAUAUAUAUAUACAUACAAUGAUAGCACGCAUGCAGUAAUUAAAUAUAAAAAGGAAUGGGCAUCCUUGCUGCCCAUGAUGUAACUGACACGCCCAUGUUGUGCAUCCACCAUGUGCAAACCCUUUCUGACAAGGAUUUUGGUAUCCACAUGCAGCUGUCCAAACUGUCUAGGAAUGUGCAUCCACAUGCUACAUUCCUGCUGUCCACCUUGUACAGAUUGAGUGAUUUCUGUUCCUUUAACACUCCCCCUCAAGUUGGAGCGUGAAUGUCAAUGACGCCCAACUUGCCUAGAUGUGUAUGAAAAAUAGGCGCCCGAAGUGGCUUAGUAAACAAGCUGCAUGUGGUUGAUCUUUACCAUUCUUUUUUAUGAAGGAGAGUCAUGAGUUGACUGUAUUCCUUGGUUGUGAAUGUUGGAUUGUUGGCGAUUUGUGAUUGAGGUGCUCGCUGACCAUAGCCUUCUGGAGUGCUAGGUGACUGAGCGGUUUGUCCAUAAACUGCAGGAUUUGCAAGAGUCUUUCGUGCUGGAUGUGCUUCAUAUUCAGUGCCAUAUGUGGGUUGAGCCGAUGGUUGGCUUUCAUAACCAGUUUGAGCAGUUGGCUGCCCAGUUCUCUUGUUGUUCAUGAUGGAUGUAAUUUCUUGAUAUUGGGUAUCAGAAAGUGAUCUACGCCAAGUAGAAUGAUUAUCUCCAUCGGAGACGAGAACGUGAAUAGAAAAAAGGAUUGGAUGCUUUUGGCUUGUAUCCAUCUUGUAAAGCUGAUUUGGAUGCUGCCUGCUUCCUCCUUUAUUUUCUGCUUCGGUGGCACUGGUUUGAGUGAAGCUGAGUAGGCGGAGCAGUGACGUAAUGAAUGCGUAGCAGGUAAUGCAGCGACGAUAGCUGUGUAGUAGUUGUGCGACAGCAAGGCAGCGAGUGUGCAGCUUGCAGUGCAAUGGUUGUGCAGUAGCAGGUAAUGCAGCGACGAUGGCCGUGUAGUAGUUGUGCGACAGCAAGGCAGCGAGUGUGCAGCUUGCAGUGCAAUGGUUGUGUAGUAGCAGGUGUCCCUGUGCACAAUAUAGUAGCGGAAGAGUGAAGGCAGAGCAGAGCAAAUGAUUAAUCCUGCUCUGAUACCAUAUAAAUUUGAAAUUGAAGAAUGCUAUUCUUAUUCAAUCUAUCCCAAAUGAAAACAACUAAUAUAUAUAUACAUACAAUGAUAGCACGCAUGCAGUAAUUAAAUAUAAAAAGGAAUGGGCAUCCUUGCUGCCCAUGAUGUAACUGACACGCCCAUGUUGUGCAUCCACCAUGUGCAAACCCUUUCUGACAAGGAUUUUGGUAUCCACAUGCAGCUGUCCAAACUGUCCAGGAAUGUGCAUCCACAUGCUACAUUCCUGCUGUCCACCUUGUACAGAUUGAGUGAUUUCUGUUCCUUUAACAUUUGCUAUGUUCAUAUACCAGAUGCUCAAAGGACCAAGCUAGAUGCAAAAGCAAAAAAAUGCAUUUUCGUUGGUUACGAUGAAAGGAAAAAGGGUUGGAAGUGCAUGGAACCUGAUACUCACAAAAUUACAGUUUCAAGGGAUGUUGUUUUUGAUGAGAUUUCCUCUUAUUUUGACAAGAAAGAUGCUUCCGUUGAAAUCGGGUUGGUGGAGUCUUUGCCUAUUCCAUUAGUGAAUGAAAUCAGCCCCUCAUCAUAUGACCAAGCAUGUGAAGAAACUGUGACUCAAAAUGAUUCUUUUAUGAGGGAGCAUGCAAAUGGGGGAGCUGAGACUUGUCAUGUUGAAACUGAAGGCAGCGAGGAACUUGUAGAUGAACCAUCUCUUAGAAGAUCCCAAAGAACAAUUGUGAAGCCAUCUCGUUUUAAAGAUUUUGUUAGUCUUUACUCUUGUCUUCUUGCUGGACCAUUUGAUGAUAAUGAGCCAUCUUGCUUUGAUGAAGCUCAUGGAAAAAAGGAAUGGGAUGAAGCUAUGGAUUUGGAGAUGAAUGCUCUAAUAAAAAAUGAGACUUGGGAUCUUGUUCCAAAACCCCAAGGUGCAAAUCCAGUGACAUGCAAAUGGGUUUAUAAAAUAAAGCGGAAAGCAGAUGGAAGUAUUGACAGGUUUAAAGCAAGACUUGUUGUCCGCGGUUUCUCUCAAAAAUAUGGGGAAGAUUAUGAAGAAACUUUUAGCCCUGUUGCAAAGUUAACUUCAGUCUGAAUUAUGAUAUCAUUGGCAGCUUGUAGAGGAUGGAAAUUAUGGCAGCUCGACGUUAAAAAUGCAUUCUUGUAUGGCGAGAUUGACAAAGAGAUAUAUAUGGUACAACCACCUGGGUAUGUAUCACAAGAGCAUCCAAAUUUUGUUUGCAAGCUUAAGAAAGUGCUUUACGGCUUGAAACAAGCUCCGAGAGCUUGGUAUGGUAAGAUUGCUGAAUUCUUACUAUUCUGUGGUUAUGUUGCUUCAGAUUCUGAUGCAAGCCUAUUUGUCAAGUGGCAUGAAAGCUCACACAUUGUAGUUCUCUUGUAUGUGGAUGACAUGAUUGUGAGUGGCAAUGAUGAGAAGGAAAUUGCAAAACUUCGAUCCGAACUCUCAAUUCGGUUCGAAAUGAAAGAUUUGGGUGAACUAAGUCACUUUCUUGGUUUGGAAGUGGAAAAUUUAAUGCAUGGAGUUUUUGUAUCUCAAAAGAGCUAUGCUGGAAAUCUUGUUGAAAAGUUUGGAUUAUCUACAAGCAAAAAGUGCUCCACUCCACUGGAUGCAAAUUUGAAGUUAAGGCAAAAUCAAGGCAAGCUUCUUCCAGAUUCUCGAUCGUAUCGUGCAUUGGUUGGUAGCCUUAUUUACUUGACCAUCACAAGGCCAGAUAUUUCAUUUGCGGUUGGGCUUGUUAGCCGAUUUAUGCAGAAUCCUCGGAAACCUCAUCUUGAUGCAGCAAAACGAAUAUUGAAAUAUGUUUCAGCAACUCUUGACAUGGGACUUAUGUUCAAGAAAGAUGUUGAUUUUAAGCUAUAUGGUUUUACAGAUGCUGACUUUGCUGGUGAUUUAGAUGAUCGAAAAUCAACGUCUGGCUAUGUUUUCUUUUGUGGAUCAGCAUGUAUUUCUUGGUGCAGUAAGAAACAAGACUCUGUCUCUCUUUCAACAACUGAGGCUGAAUAUAAAGCCUCUUCUUUUGCUGCUCAAGAAUGUGUUUGGUUGCGUCGGUUGAUUGGGGAUGUUGAUUCACCAAUCUACUGUCCUACGGUUAUACAUGGUGACAACCAAAGUGCUAUAAAGCUUGCAACAAAUCCAGUGUUUCAUGCGAGGACCAAGCACAUUGAGACUGAGCAUCACUAUAUUCGUGAAUGUGUGCUUAAAGGAAGAGUCAAAGUUUCUGAAGUUCGAAGUAGUGCAAACGUUGCUAACAUCUUUACAAAGUCGCUCUCCAAAGGACCGUUUGAAGACUUCCGUGUGCAGCUUGGUUUAACAUCUAGAAAAUCACUUUAAGGGGGAGUGAUAAAAUUAAAGUGGUUUUCCUAGAAUGACUUCUCACAUACCCAACAACUUAUAUUAAUUCCUUAAUUGUGGCUGUCUUGGGAAUCCGCAUGUUUUCAUGGUGCGGUGGCACUCCUUUAUGUUUUGGUGUUCCUUCUAGACAAUAGUUUUCAAUUGCAUUGAUAACUAGCUGCUGCUUAUCCUUUUGAGUUAGUUUUUCAUCUUUCCUUUAGAUUGUAUUGUUCAUGCUCUUGGUGAGAGUGUUGUAACUUGUAAGCUUAUUUUCCUUGUUAGUGAAAGUUGAUUCAUCUUCAUUGAGUUCCAUUCUUUCUCUUUACUGUUGGUUUAAGUCUUGGGCUAGUGUGGAGUUUGCACUAACCGAGAAGCAAUACUCUGGAGUUUGGAAUAUUGUCUUUCUCUACAUCCACCACCAUCAUCACCAUCAUGAAUGUGGUUGUUGCUCAGGGAUGUAGCGAAACCGGAGAAGGCACUAUUUCUAAAACAGUGUCGUAAGUUUCAUAAACAGUGUAAUAAGUUUCAUAAUGUUAGACAAAUAAGGAAUAUGGUUGGAGUCCUUGUGUAAUUGUAGUCCUAAUUGUAGUUGUAUUCCUAAUUUGUAGGGAUUUUUCCUUGCUAUGCAAGGCAUGUAAUUGUAUAUAAUAUCAUUCACGUAUCAAUAACAUAUAUGCUUUUUAGCCUACAUAACUUUUUCUUACAUGGUAUACAGAGCAGGUUUAAAACCCUAGCCCUAUUUUUUUUCCCUUUUUUUUCGGCAGCUUUCUCUGCCGUUCCCAUGGCUGAUUAUUCUUCUCCCGAUGGUGCUUUUUCCCUUCAUCAUUCAGACCACCCGAGUCUUGUCCUUGUAUCCAAGAAGUUGAAUGGUGAUAACUACACAUCCUGGGCCCGUGGAAUGCAGCUUUCUUUGAGUGCCAAGAAUAAACUUGGUUUCAUCACUGGUGAUGUCCAAGAGCCUUCUUCCUCCGACGAUCCCGAUGAUCACGCGGCUUGGCGUCGUUGCAAUGACAUGAUUCUCUCUUGGCUUCUUCAUUCCUUGGAACCUGACCUUCAAGAAUCUGUGUUUUUUUCCACCUCUGUCAAGGAUGUGUGGGACGAUCUUCGCAAACGCUUCUCUCAGAGUAACGCUCCUCGCAUCUUCCAACUCAACCGGGAGCUUGCUACAAUUUCUCAAGGUUCUUCUUCUGUCUCAGCCUAUUUUACUCGCCUGAAAGCUCUCUGGGAUGAGCUUUCUUCUUAUAAUGAUGGCUGCAUGUGCUCUUGCAACGCCAAGCAUGACCGUCAACAACUCAUGCAAUUUUUAAUGGGCCUCAACCAAUCCUUUGAUGCCGUUCGUGACCAGAUCCUUUUGAUGAAUCCCCUUCCCACUGUUCGUCAAUCUUCUCUUUCUGGUGCUCAUUAUUUUUUAACCAUUGUGGAUGAUUUUUCUCGAUUUACGUGGGUCUUCCUCAUGAAACAUAAAUCCGACACUCAACAAUUAAUUAAGGAUUUUUUUGCUUAUGUCCAUACCCAAUUCCGCACUACAAUCCAAUGCAUUCGUACUGACAAUGGCGGUGAAUUUUUAUCUCUUCGUAGUUUUUUCUCUGAUCAUGGGGUGCUUUUACAAACUUCUUGUGUUUAUACCCCCCAACAAAAUGGCGUUGUUGAACGCAAACAUCGUCAUCUUCUUGAAACCGCUCGCGCACUUCGUUUUCAAUCCCAUCUUCCUCUCAAAUUUUGGGGUGAAUGUGUCCUUACCGCUACUUAUCUCAUCAAUCGUUUCCCAACCCAUCUUCUCCAUAAUAAAUCCCCCUUUGAGGUUCUCUUUUCGAAAACCCCAUCUUAUGACCACUUCCGCGUCUUUGGUUGUCUGGCCUAUGCCACCUCUGUCACUCCCACCACCAAAUUUUCCCCUCGGGCUCAUCGUUGCAUUUUUCUCGGUUACUCUCAUGGACAAAAAGCCUAUACCCUUUACGAUCUCGACCAUCACCGUAUUUUCACUAGUAGAGAUGUCAUCUUUCACGAAAAUACUUUUCCUUAUGCCGUUCCUAACCCUCCUAUCCCAUCCACUCCGCCUACGCUACCCAUCCCACCCCCUCUGGAAUUUUCCUAUACCCCACCCCUCCCUGCCCCGCCACCUCACCCUCAUACCACUUCAUCCACUUCCACGCCUCCCACAGAUUCCCUUGCUGCCCCCUUACCCGUUCCUCCACCUGCCCCUGCCCUCUCGGCAUCCCCUCCUUCCCCCACCGCUACUUCCUUACCUUUCACCCAUUUACCCACGGACAUCCCUACCCCCCCCCCCCACUUCCUACCAAUCCUCCCAUUCCCCGCACCUCUUCUCGUGCCCAUAAACCUCCAUCAUAUUUAAAAGUCUACGUUUGCUGGCAGGUGAUUCUGCCAUCCCACCAAUCUUCAAAUUCGCAACCCGGUUCUACACAAGGUACGCGAUAUCCACUUUGUAAUUUUCUUUCUUAUCACCGUUACUCUCCCUGACAUUUUUCAUAUAUUAACUUUGUCAGUCAGACUGUGGAGCCUUCCUCUUUUGCCGAGGCUGCCACUGACCCCAAUUGGCAACGUGCUAUGACUGAGGAGCUUCAAGCUUUACAUGCUAAUGGUACUUGGACUUUAACUUCCUUGCCCCCUGGCAAAAUUCCCAUUGGUUGUAAAUGGGUGUACAAACUCAAGUACAACUCCGACGGCUUUAUUGAGCGCUACAAAGCUCGUUUGGUUGCUAAAGGCUUCACUCAGGCUGAAGGUAUUGAUUAUCAUGACACUUUUUCUCCUACUGCUAAGAUGAUUACGGUGCGUUGUCUUCUUGUUCUUGCUGCUAGUCAGUCUUGGUCUCUUCAUCAGCUUGAUGUUAAUAAUGCUUUCUUACAUGGUGACUUACAUGAAGAACUCUAUAUGUCUCCUCCUCCUGGUCUUCGGCGACAGGGGGAGAAUCUUGUGUGUCGCCUUCACAAGUCACUUUAUGGUCUUAAGCAGGCUUCUUGCCAAUGGUUUGCCAAAUUCACUAGUGCCAUCAUUUCUGCUGGUUUUCAACAAUCCAAAGCUGACUAUUCAUUGUUCACUAAAAAGUCUGGUAUUUCUUUCACAACUUUGCUCAUUUAUGUGGAUGAUAUUGUGAUUACAGGCAAUGAUGCUAGUGCCAUUAAUUCUCUGAAGUCUUUUCUCCGUGAUCAUUUUCGGAUAAAAGACCUUGGUGAUUUAAAAUAUUUUUUGGGUAUUGAGGUUUCUCGUUCCAAACAAGGGAUUUAUAUUUCUCAACGCAAGUAUGCAUUAGAGAUUCUCAAGGACUAUGGUUUUUUGGGAGCACGACCCAUUGCUUUUCCUAUGGAUGACACAAAAUUAUCUGAUAAAGGAGAACUUCUCAAGGAUCCUGAAAGGUAUCGACGAUUAGUAGGUCGGUUAAUAUAUCUCACUAUAACUUGGCCGGAUAUUACCUAUUCUGUGCAUGUUCUAAGCCGUUUUAUGCACGAGCCAAGGAUAUCUCAUAUGGAUGCAGCGCUUCGUAUUGUUCGUUAUUUGAAGGCUACUCCAGGUCAAGGUUUAUUAUUUCGAUCUGACAACCAGACCAAGUUAACUGCGUUUUGUGAUUCUGAUUGGGCAGGUUGUCAUAUCACUCGUCGUUCGACUAUUGGGUAUUGUGUAUUCUUGGGCGGUUCUUUGAUUUCAUGGCGGACGAAACGACAGAAAACUGUUUCGCUCUCUUCAGCAGAGGCAGAAUAUAGGGCUAUGGCAGGUUCUUGUUGCGAGAUAGUUUGGCUUCAUUUUUUGUUGAAGGAUUUGAACAUUUCCUUGGUUGGUCCUUCCAGUUUAUUUUGUGAUAAUCAAGCAACGUUACAUAUAGCUGCCAAUCCUGUUUUUCAUGAACGAACUAGUCACAUUGAGAUGGAUUGUCACUUUAUACGAGAUAAGAUUGUAGAUGGCACAAUAGAGACCAAACAUGUGGGUACGGCACAACAGUUGGCAGACUUGUUUACCAAACCUCUUGGGAAAGAAAAGUUUUCGAGUAUGUUACGCAAGUUGGGAGUUCUUGACAUCCACUCUCCAACUUGAGGGGGAGUGUUAGACAAAUAAGGAAUAUGGUUGGAGUCCUUGUGUAAUUGUAGUCCUAAUUGUAGUUGUAUUCCUAAUUUGUAGGGAUUUUUCCUUGCUAUGCAAGGCAUGUAAUUGUAUAUAAUAUCAUUCACGUAUCAAUAACAUAUAUGCUUUUUAGCCUACAUACCUUUUUCUUACACAUAAACGGUAUACCGUGAGUCUGCGCGUUAGAUUUUUUGUCAUUUUUAUUAAAAUUAUGCAUUUUUUUAUUAAAAUUUAAGUUCUUUUGUCAUUUUUAUUAAAAUUUAAUGGAUUUUCAUUAAAAUUUAAGAUUUUACGAGGAAUUUGAGGAGUCGGCGGCUUUUGGAACUUGGGCUCAGAGACGGCUAUGGUGAGGUAGCAGCUGAGGAGUAUUCUCAUAUCCCGGCAACCCCACACGACGUCGUUCCUGAAACUAAGGUAUUUUCUGGUAUAGAUUAAACUCGCCCACUACAUUUACAAUGAAUUUGGAAGUUUUAGGUCCCGACUUACAGUUUAUGGCUCCAAACUGAUUGUCACGAAAUUGAUUAUUUGAUUGGUGGUGUUUUGGUAUCAAGAGGACGAACAGAUUUGUGCUCUAGAUCAGGGCAAAGGCUUGCCGUGAGAAAUUGACGAGGGAGAGAUUUAAUGACAGGUACGUAUGUAUCCAAUCUCAAAUUAUUUUUUAUUUUUUGAAGAAUUGGGUUGUUUUGUAAUGAUGAAAUGAAUGGUGGUUUUCUGUUGAAUUUUACUGUUUUGCAAUUUGGGAUUUCUGUGUGGAUUGUAAACUUUUAAUUUUUUUGUCAGUGAUUGAAUUUUUCUUGCAUUUGACACAUACUUAAUGAAAUGAGAUUGAAAAAUAAGGAGUUGCUGUCAGGCGUUUAUGUUUUAGUAUAAUUUUACAUCUAUGAUUCGAAAGCGUUUCCCCCAAUCCAGUGUUUUUUUUUCUUUAGAUGAAUCUGUUGCCACAACCCAUGAAGAAGAAUAUUAGCUGAGCGAGCAACUUUUGUUUUUAACACUGUUUUGAAAAUGUUUUGGAGCAACAUUGUUGAACUGAAGCGCAGAGUCUUUUAACGAAAGAAAAGACCAAAGCAUCCCAAUUUUUUUAAGAGAGUUUUAACGAAACACUCUAGGUACUAUUUAUUUUUAACGAAAAAUCAUAUUUUUACUUUUUCACGGUUCCAUUCACUACACCUUUACUUUAUUUGUCAUUUUUCAUUAAAACUAAAUUUUUUUGGACUUUUCGUUAGUUUUCUUUUUUUUUAAUAGCUCCAUAGUUGCCAAAAUUAUUUUAUUACAACAAUUCUGAUAGGGAAUCAAUCUUCGGGGCAAUGGGCAAAAUUGUGGUUUAGUUAAGCAUCUGUGGAGUUCUAAUGUUCAUUAAAUCUUCAAUAAUUCAAUUACUGUACAAUUUUUUUUAUUUUUUAUCAAAACUUCUUUUUUUCACUUUUUGGUUUAGGCUUAUUUAAUCAAUGUGAGAUAGUUCUUCACAUUGCGGCUAAUUGUAUUGUUUUUUCUCUUUUGAGUUUUCUUUUUUUAUUAAUUGAAAUCCUACAGAGAUAUCUAAGCUAUAUUUAAUGGAAGUUGUUAGGGCCAAAGAAACUGAACAUGGGCUGGGGUUCGCAAUUGGUUUUCAGGUAAGGGAUGUAAUAAGCACUAAUAAAAUGGAAGCUGUAGUGAAGUGUAGUUUUUUUAUUUUUGCUUUUCAUUUUGUCAGUUUGUUCGAUUAAUGGUGAAGAAUACAUGAAUUACAUGUGUGUAAAUAUUGCAUAUCGUAUAUAUACUUAAAACUUUUGACAUAUUUUAUAUGGUUUUAAAACCUGCAGCAUCACGCGAGCACCUUCGCCAGUAGAAACUAAAACAGUAAAACUUUAGAAGAAGCUUAUGAACACAUCAAUCAUAGUGAACGGGAAGUGGAGAAGAUUUCCGAGAUAUUCUAUUGAGCAAAACCAUCGUUGAUGAGCUUUUUAAUCUUUAACAGGAACAGCUCUCCGAUCUUACAAAUAACUUCCGUCGAUAAUUUUGGAGAAUCAGACAGAAAACUAUUUUCUGAUUGCGCAAAUGAGUUCAUCGACUGCAGAGGUAAUAGAAAAGCUAGAAGUUCUUCUACUAAAAUGUGUGGUCAAUCGUCUGCUAACAUGUUAGGGCAAGUCAAGUUUAAUGAAAAGGUAGUAGAAACUAUUGACUGGCUAUCAUUGAUUUUCUAACAUUAAAAGUCAAUUCUUGGAAUAUGUGGUGGCAGCAGGGCAGGGCAAGUAUUUGUGCGAAUUCUGAGUAGUAUUUGUCAAAUAUUGGGAUGAGAGAGAGAAAGAGAGAGUGAGAUACCUGUUGGAUGCUCUUCCCAAAAUCAGCUGUUAAAUUGGUACAGUUACUCAUAUAAAUCCAUGCAUGGAGUUUAAUGACUUACCCAAGCCCGGAACCUCAAUGAGAGUUUGGGUGACUCCCUUACAUUCAGUUUUCUCAUAUUUGACAUUUCCAAAAAACUGGGCAUUGUUUUCAAUGCAGGGCAAUUAGAGGCGUACAAAAAUUUCAAAUUUGUUGGUAAAUCAAGGAUUGUAUGAAGGUUAAAGCGUUGAUCUAACCGUAGAGUUUCAAGCUUUGACAGACUACUGAGGUUGGGUAGAGCAUAAAAAUCAUUUCGUCGAACAUCCAAAUAUUGCAAGGAAAUUAGACUCCCAAGACCCAUAACGAUUGCAUCAUCAUCUAUGUCGCACAAAUAGCAGUGGAACGAAUAGGGAGAAUGAACACACCCAAACCUUACGGUUAGAGAUAAGCGAGUGAGAUUCUUCAAUCUUAGUAUGGAAGGUGGUACUUCUCUUAUGGUUGUUUCCUCUGCUUCAAGUAUUCUCAAUGAUAUCAUCUCCCCUAAAUCCUUAUGCAGUUUACUGAAUUUUGAACAGUAAUUAAGACAGAGUGAACAGAUUUGGACCUUUAGAAAUCCCUUGGAAGAGAACUAAGCAUUCUGCAUCCGUUUAGGUUCACCAAAGAAAGUCUUUUAAGACGACCAAUGUAGGGGUGAAUCUCAGACAAAUUGAUACAGCGUUCCAAUAUCAACUCUUCAAGAUUUGGGACUUGUGAAAAGUCCAGUGAUUUAAUUAGGUAAUCAGAAAAACUAAAAAAAAAGGUCGUACCCAGUGCACAAGGCUCCCGCUUUACGCAGGGUCUGAGAGAGGUGAAUGUCGGCUAGACUUACCCCCAUUUAUGAAGAGGCUGCUCCCAAAAGGAAAGGAAAAUUGAAAUUAAUAUCCAAAAGGAAGACCUAUCUCAUAACUAGUUUCUCUUGAUUUAAAAUGUCAUUUGGUAUGGACUCUAAAGGGAAUCCAUGCCAGGACAACCAUAUUAACUCUUUGGGAAGAUGCUUGUAUUCUCCAUUGAGCUCUACGUAGCUGAGCUUAAGAAAUUUCAGUUUCUUCAUAUUGGUAAAUGCUACUGUACUGAAAGUAUACUCGUUAGAGUUUUGAAACCAAAGAUCAAGGGAAUCUAGAGCAAGUCCUUCAACUUGUUCAGUUCCCUGUUAACAAAAGCAUUAUUUGCAUAUGUUUACACGAAUUUGCCUAACGAAUUAUACUUCAUCCCCCUUUAGGUGAUGAGCUUAUUUCACCACUUGCAAAUUACGUUUCUUUAUUGUACAAAUUUCAUAAACGAUCUCCGAUUAUAAAAUUUGUAAAUAAAGGAAUUAGCUCAUCACUCCAAGAGAGGAAUGCAAGUAUCAACCCAUAUAGUCACGUACGGUGAAUAUAUGCAAGUAUUAUUGUUGGUUAAUUGAGCUUUCCUUGUGCAACUACACAUACACAUGAAUGUUGUUUAAUGUAUAUAGACAUACGUGGGUUUUUAUUGGUAAUGUACUUACAAAUUUAUUUCUCAACACAUCGGUCACCUCUCGAGGGUUCCACAACUUACUCCAUUUUUCAGGAUGACCAGGGGAAUUUUCGAAAUGAUUGCUCUGCCAUUUCUCGAAGCAAAUCAUGCAUAUUCAACUUGUUGCGUUCAACAUUUUCAAGACAUCGUUCACGAAGGACACUAGUUUCUACUGUUGCUGAAAAUCCACAUUCAUCUCAAGGAAUAUAGCUUUUUUUGUAUCAUCUAGCCCUUUAAAGCUUAUUCUUAAUGAUUUUAUUAUUUUUCCAUCUGGUGUUCCUUCCAAUUUCUCCAAUUGACUUUUCCAGAGCCAAUAGUAGUGUAGUCAUUCUAGAGCUUGGUGGACCCAAUAGUAAUGUCAAUCUAGAAGACAAUACCAACGGCUUGUUAGGCGUAAACACAUAGACAUUCUGAUGCCAAUGUGGCGAUAUACCAAGUAACCAAAGCCAAUCCAACACUACCACGAGAUCAAUUGACUUGAAAUACCGUUACCAUGGCAUCCCGAUUAUAAGUCCUUUUCGUAAACACUGGACUGGAAAUUCAGUAACCGAGUACUGACUGAAGCUUAAAAAACUUACCUUGAAGGUCUUAUAAUCCCGCUAAUGUUGUCUAAAAUAAUUAAUUUGCUUCUCUGCCCCCUGUAUAUACCAAUUGCCUAAAACGCCAUCCGAAAAAUGCAAAGAUUACAAAUCUUUCACAAAAUUAUGUAAUUUAAGAAAAUUAAGGGGAGAAUUUGAAUGAUUUUAUACCUCCGUCAUAUUAAAAACAAAAUUGGGAAUAGUCGGCAGCGCUCUGCUUCCGACAUGGACGAAAGCUUCAACCUUCAAGUUCUGAAAUCGGACCUCGAUCUUCGGAAAAUUCAAUGCUACUCUGCACACUCAAAUAAAGAACACCAAAACAAAUUAAGCACAAAAGAAAAGUUCCGAAAUUGAAAAGGACAAAAUGAAUAUCUGUUUAGUUGCUGAGAAAACGAGAGAAAACAGAAACUUCAGUACUCGCAGUCUCUGCCGACAUUUUCUCAGCAGCCAAACAGACACAAAUUAAGUACAAGAGAAAAGUUUCGAAAUUGGAGAGGACGAAAAGAAAAUCCUCCGUUUGGUUGCUGAGAAAAUAAUCGCAUUAGGCACUGUAUACUGAAUUUCUCAGCAGCCAAACAGUGUCAAUCACAGUAUAUCCAGUAAAACUGAAGAGGAUUACGCGUCAAAUCUGCGGCGCAUGCGAUCGAAGAAUUGUUCGGGGUCGUCGGCGGCGGAGCUAACAAGCCGGUCGAGAUUGGGCUUCUGCUCCUUAGCCUCGAGCUCGCCGACGUCGAUCUCCAUAGUGUCUCCGACGACGUUUCUGAAAAUGCCGCGCCGUACUCGGGCGUAGGUCGGGAGCCGCUCCAGCGCGGCCCACCGCAGCGCCUCCUCAUCGUCCCCUCCCUCCUGAAACGACCCCGAUCUCGCGAACACGUUCUCCGCCGAGUUCCACAUCGGAAAUCCCCAAAAGCUCUCCCUAGCCUCAGAAAAAUGCGG
rnacentral:lncRNA from 1 species